rnacentral:lncRNA from 1 species
CUCAAAUAUGCUCACUGGUGGGAUACCUACAGAAUUAAGCAAUUUGAACUUUCUUGAAGUCCUAAAUCUUUCCAAUAACCAUCUUGUGGGAGAAAUACCUCAAGGAAAACAGUUCGGUACUUUUUCCAAUGAUUCCUAUGAGGGAAACUUGGGGUUAUGUGGACUCCCAUUGACAACAGAAUGCAGCAAGGACCCUGAACAACAUUCUCCACCUUCAACUACCUUCAGGAGAGAACCAGGAUUUGGAUUUGGGUGGAAACCAGUGGCUAUAGGAUAUGGAUGUGGAAUGGUCUUUGGAGUGGGAAUGGGAUGUUGUGUAUUGUUAAUAGGAAAGCCUCAAUGGCUUGUGAGAAUGGUUGGAGGUCAACUAAAUAAAAAGGUGAAAAGGAAGACAAGGAUGAGAUCUAAUGAAAAUGGUAGCAGAAUGAAUUAGUUGAUAUAUGGCAUGACUGGAGAAUGUCUUGUUCCAUACCUGCCAUCUUUGAAAACAAAACUUAAGGGCAAGAACUUUAUCACACUGCAUUGCAUGGGAGAUCUGGUUCAAAGUUUUGCUGUAAUAUGAAUGUGUUAUACUUUUGCUUUUUUUGUGUGUUCCUUUUUGUUUUUUACGGGUAGAAGAGUGCGAUGUAUUGAGCUUGCAGUUUUGAUUUAUUUAAUAAGUAUAACUGUGGCAUUAAUUGGUUGUAUAAUAAUAGAUGUUGUAUAUUUUAAAAAAAUCAUAUGUAUUGGCCAAUGCUAAAAUAUAUUGUAUCUUAAUUCAAGGAGCUGAAUUCACGGUUUUAGCUUCUAUUGUAGACUAUUUAAUUAAUUUGCUAACUAUUUAACCAGCGUGACAUGGCUUUAGAAGCUGAGGUCCAGGGCGUAAGUAUAAGAGCACAAACAAUGCAUACUAAAGGAAGGCCAUGGGUAUAGUCUAGGCCACAUGGUCCGUAGGAUAUCACAUAUUUAUUUUUUAUUAAAUUGUCACUCAAAAAAAUCAACAUUGUCAUUAAAUAAACCAGUGUGCUGUACAAUAAUUCACUUUUUAUCAUUCAAAAGAAAAAAUAAAACUGUUUUAUAAUAUUUACCUUAAUGAUUAAAUAUAUUUUUGUCUUUAAUAAAUAGUUGAUUUUUUUUUCUUCCUAAUAUAUUUUUUUUUUGUUUUGAGUACCUUAUAAAACAAUAAUUUUAUUUUUUGUCUUAGAUAUUUUGUUGUAAUCUCUAAUAAAUUAGUGAAUUUUUUUUACUCCCUCUUGAAUUAUCUAAUUUUAUUUUAGUUCCGACUAAUAACAAAUAAAAAAAUUAUCAAAAAAUAAACACACAAUUUGUGAAUUUAUCAUGGACUAAGAAAAGUAUCAAGGACUAAAAUAAAAUGAUUUUUUUAUUUGAAACUCAACGUAAAGUAAAAAUUUAUUAAAAAUUAAAUAUUUAUUAGGGAUUAAAAUUACAAUUAAAACUUAUCUUAAAGAUUAAAUUUAUUAUAAUUUUUUUAAUUGAUUCACAAGAUAUAAAUAUUUACACUUGUUAAAAUAUACUAUAAUUUCUCUUAAAUUAUUUUAAUGAAAAGCAAUAGUAAAAUAGUAGGAGCUUAAUCUAAGUUAUGUUCGGCAAAUAUCAAGUAAAAUUGGUAAGAGUGUGAGAAACUUCAUUAUUUAUCAUUUCCAACUAUGUCCAAUUAUGUGGAUCAACUAAUGUGGGUUGUUGAGCUAGAGACUCUUGCGAAAAAAUAUUGUCUGAUAAUGAGAAGAAUACAUCAUAAAAAAAAUAGAAAAGAUAAUAAAUUUGUUUAAUAUGGUUCAUACUCUCAUCCUUGCAUUGACAAUCUCAUACAUUUUAAGGACAAUCUAGACAAACUUACUAAAAUUCCCUCCUAACGACUUCCCUCUCUUUGUUAGGGUAGUAACAUUUUCUUCACACCGGAUGCAGUGAUUCUUUUCAUUUCAAAAAAUCUUUAUUUAUAGACCUAACAUUUUAAUCUUAAAUGAAUUUAAAUCUUUAAUUUACAAAUAAUAUAUUUAAUUCUAAAUGGUAUCUUAAAAAUAAGAUAAUAUCUUUUUUAAAAUCUAAACAAUAUCCUAUAAAUUUUUUAAUCAUUGAUUGAACCAUCAUUAAUUCCUACAUCCACAACCUCUAUAUAAGUUUUUAUGACAAGUUAGACAAACUUGCAAACCUUCCCUUAACAUGACUCAAUCUCUCUUGGAGUGUUGACCUAAGCUGAGUGAUUAUUCUUAUCUCAUAAAUCUUAUUUUAUAGACAUAACAUCCUAGUCUUAAAUGAAGAAACAAAUACCUAAUUUAUUAAUAAUAUAUUUAAUUUUAACAACAUUCUAAAAAUAAGAUAAUAUCUUUUUUUAAGAAAACAAUAUCUUAUAGAUUUGAGAAUAUAAAUUUGAAUUGUUUCCGAAUAAAGUCUUGGGUAUGCAGUUAAAUAUUUGAAGAAAAUUUUUUAUCAUUCAUAAUAAUCAUAUUGACUCAAAUAAGAUUAUCUUCAAUGGAAUAUACCUACUAUCCGAAAGAAAAACCUAAGAUGUAAGAUAUACCAAGAAGCAAAGUUGGACUUAUGUAGAUCAACCAACUAAUCCCUAUACCCACUCAUCACCCAAGCUCAGUCAAAACUCGCUUGAGCCCCAACCCUGCAUCUAGGGGUGGAAAUGAGUCGAGCAGUUUGUCGAGGGCCUUUGGCUCGGCCUAUGUAAGGCUUGCCUUUGCUCAGCUUGUUUACUAUAAAGGUCAAGCUCAAACUUUUUUAAAAAGUCUUUUUAGAUAAAAAGGUCAAGCUCAAACUAUAAAAAAAACUUGUUAAGUUUGUCAAGCCGACUUGUUUAACUAAUAAUAAUAAUAAUAAUAAUAAUAAUAAUAAUAAUAAUAAAUUUAUUUUAUCAAAUCUUAUCUUAUCCAGAUUUUAUUCUAUCUAGAUUUUAUUUUAUCCAGAUUUUAUUCCAUCUAGAUUUUAUUUCGUCCAGAUUUUAUUUCAUCCAAUCUUAUCUUAUCUUGUCUAGAUUUUAUUUUAUUUCGUUUUGGGCUUGGACUUAAAAAUAGAUUUGUGAGCGUUGGGACUGAGGACCUAUAUAACAGCACCAAGGUUUUAGUUUAGGCAGUUUUUUUUCGGAGAGGAGAAUAAUUCUAGGAUUUUAGAAUUCCAGUUUUUAUUACUGUUCAUGCACACUGUUCACGUAAAAUAAAAUUUGUUUUCUGCAAUUUCGUUUCGGCUUCAAUCUACAAUUUCGUUUCCACUGAUUAAUGGAAGACUAAGUCUCCAGCAUUGUUUUGUCUUGAGGAUCAAGCACAACUAUCUUUGAGUUUUUGUUAUUACUAUUGAAUAAUGAUCAUUUUUUUCUCUUCACCAAUUACUUUGUAUUUGUUGCUAUUAAUCCAUGCAUGUUUAGUGUUUGAUUAAUUGUCUCUGCGCUUAAUUUACGUUCAUGCUUAAUGAUCAGUUUCGUUCAUGAUUAAUUGGUGCCUGUGUUGUUUAAUCACAUAAUGACAGCCUUAUGUUAAUUUUCGCUUAGUAAUUUAAGUUAGGGUUGGAUUAAGUGGUUGAACUGAUUAAGGAUAAAUUCUCGUAACCUAGGAUAAGAGACUUGCUUGUGAAUGAAGGGGAAACAUGUUUUAAUUCUGUUAUUUUCUAAUUCAAAUUUGUUUGCUGUUUAAUUUACAAUUUUAUUACUAUCUGUUAUGAACGUUUGGUUGACCAUUGCUUGUUGGGAGACGACCUAGGAUCACUUUCUAGAUACUGCAUUUUUAAUGUUUAUUUGAUUUGGGUACGACCUCAAUCAAUAGUAUAUAAGAUAUGGCUUGAGUAGACUAAGAAGAAAUUAUUGUAGAUAUAUUUUAAAAUAAUAUAUUUAAUAUAAUUAUAUAUUCUAAAAAUUGAAUUAAAAAUUGUUAAUUUAACUAAUAAUAAUUUUUGUUUGGCUAUAUUAGUGUAAAUCAUCUUUAAUCUAUACAUUUUUUAAUAUUAUGCUCUUUUUAUUUUCUUUUGAUAUACUUUGUGUUUUAACGACUUGAAUUCAAUAUGAUUUUGUUUAUCAAUUAUUUUUGGAUUUGUACAUUACUUAUACGAAAUUUUAUAAGUUUCUUUUUUUAGUUAGUAUUUCACUAGGUUUUAAAAUAAUUAAUUAAUCAAAGACAUCCUUAAGCAAACUUUUAAAUAGACUCGUGGGUCAAGCCAGACUUUUAUGUAAGCCGGACUGAGCCUUAAAAAAAAGCCUAUAACAGGUAAUGAGCCAAGCUCAAGCCUUACUUAUUCAAGUCCAGCCGAACUAAAGCCUAGUAAAACUUGGCCUGAUUUGGCUCAUUUCCACCCCUACCUCCAUCGCUUAAGCUCUUAGCCAACACCACUAAAGCUACAUCAAGAAACAUGUUAGUUUUUGUGCCCAUUCUAGCUUAAGCGCUACCCAACACCAUUUAAGCUACUUCAAACUAAUUUACUCAAAUUAAAAAUAAUAAUGAUUCUACUAUUUAAUCACUACACAUUAAAUACCUAAUUUAUUUUCCGCACAUCACGCAACUGGUCCAUUUAUCUUUAAAUCUAAUUAAAAAAAUUAUAAAACUCUUGAACCCCAGAAAUAUGUCUACGUUCUGUUAUAGUUUAAUUUUAAUUUCCUUCCCCAGAAACAAUAAAAAAAACACAUUCUCAGCUGUGUUUUACCUUUUUUUUAAGGACCUUACCAUGGUUUUCUGUAACCACUCCCGUAAGGUUGAUUUGAAAAAAUUAAUAUAUAAAACGAUUCCCUCCCUAAGAACUGAUUUCUUAUUGUAAAAACGAAAAAAAAAAAAAAAACAGGGAUGAAAAUUUGAUUUACGGGAAAUCAAUUUCGCACUCAUGAAAAAUAAAUAAUAAAUUAUAUCAUGCAUGAAAUAAUUAUUAAUUUAUAUCAUUUGGGUGAAAAAUUUCCCAAGUAGUCCAAUCCAAAUAAUAAAUAAACUAAACCAACACUUUCCUAAAUUGAAAUAAGAUCAAUAUCCAAUCCAAACAAUAAUCAAACUAAAGUACCUAUUUCUGACGUAGAAAAGGAGAUUUCAAAUAAUUAUAAAAUCCUAAAACAACAAGAUAAAAUAAUUUUUUUUGGCAUACUUAGAAAAUUAUUAAAAAUAUAUCAAAGCUGAAAUAAAAUUCACAAAAAUUAUUAAUAGCAUUAUCUUUAUUUUUUCCUCCACAGUUAAUUAUAUAUUUUAUUAACAAGAAUUACAUUGCUAAAGAAGUUGGCGAUUUUUAUCAUUGAAAGAGAUAAAAAAGAACCCUUACAACUUACAUUGAAAUAUACUUUAUAGAAAAUUUCUAAAUAAAUAGUUUCAAUAAACUGCAAUAUUUAAUCAUAUUUCACCAAAAAAAUUAUAAAUAAUCAUAUUAUUUUUAACAUAUUUCUUCUACAUUCAGUUAAUAGUUUGGUACUUUAAGUAUAAUUAUUUGAAAUCUCCUUUUCUACUUCAGAAAUAGGUACUUUAGUUUUUUACCCAAAAAAUAUAUAUUAUUUUUAACAUAUUUAAAAGAGGUGAAAAAGAGUGAAUGAGUGGUGACCUUCUUGACCAACCACAGAAGCAAAGUGUCUUCUCUUUCUCUUUGCAUUGAAUUAAAAAAUGCCGAGCAGGGGAUCGAACAUUCUACUCUAUCAAUCUCAAAACAAGCACAAAAUAUUUUAUGAGCCAUCAUAAAAUACCUAUCCCCUGUACCUUAUGAACUUAUUGAACUAAAUUUAGGUAAAAAGCUAACUUGUGACAAGUGAAAGCAUGCUAACCUGUGACAAGUAUGAUACUGUGACUUAUCAUUGAAGUCCUCUUAGAAUAAAGCUAACCUGUGACAAGUGAAAGCAUGCUGCCUCAAUUGCAUUGGCUGACCAUGACCUCCCAAUAUUGUUCUUUGCUGUGGACAAGUUAUUGAUGUGAAAAAAAUUCAGAAUAACAUUGAAAGUGCUCAUUGCAACUUUUCCAAUCAUGUUCUUUGCUGUUACAAGACAAUAUUCUGUUUUUCUUUAAUCUUUUUAAUAUCCAGAAACUUGAAACAAUGACCAGUCCUGUUACUGCAGUAAGAAAUUAAGAGAGAGACAAAGUAGACCUGAUGGUAAUGGAAUUAUCAUAUCCAUUAAAAAAAGUUUGUGCUUUUCUCUGCCUAAUUGUUCUGGUGAUGAAACUUUAGAAGAUUUAAAUCCAUACGGAACGGAUUUAGAUUUUAGAACCCAUGAAAACUAUGGAGCAGCUGAUACAAUGGUGGUUAUGGACAUUAUCAUAUUCAUUACCAAUAAUAUUAGUCAUUUAAAUAGUAAUAAUUUGUUGAUUUUUUCAGAGAAAAUGGUUACUAGAGAUUCAAAGCAUAUAGACAGUAACUGACGAAUCUCUCAUUCCCCACCUUGCUUUAUUGCACUAAUAAGAAAAGUACACACUACACAGUCAAUUAGAGUGUAUGAAGUAGUGAAGUUACUGCCGAAUGUCUACUCUACCUUACCUGGUCCUUUCUCACCACUACUUCCAUUUUAACUUUGGCAACAAAAUUGUCUUCUGGAAAUUCGGAGCCUGUGAGGAAUACACGAUUAGUUAAAGACAAGGGUGUAAGUGAAAGUGAGCAUGUGACAUUUCUAAAAGAUCUAUAUGCAUAAAAGCAAGUAUAGAACUCAAAGCCAAAGGAAAAAAAUGUAUCUCUUGCACUACAGGUGAUUAAAAUGAGUUACGAACUUAAAACACAGCUAAAGUUGGUUGGCCACACAGGUAUGGAUGAAAACUAAUUACUAACGAUUAGUUUCAGAAUGAAAAAAAAAUGGAAUGAAGACAAUAGAAGAAAAAAAAACUACUUUAAAGUGAGUUUGUUUGUGAGGUAAACAAGGGUGUAUUUAGUAUUUGCCCUUAAAUUUUAGUGGGUUAAGAUUGCAAUGCAUUUUAAAUUAAACUAAGGAUGAAUGCACACUAUCACUUACUUUACAGAAUAGCUCAAUUUAGGAGUCUUCUUUAUGGAAGGACAUAUAUUCAGUAUUCAAGUACUUGUAGUCAGCUAUGACUUACUUCCCUGCCUCUCUUUUGAACCACCCUGAGCACCAAAGCCCCUGACAUCAGAUACAGUGACACCACGAAUUCCCAUUUUCAACAAAACCUUCGAAUCAAGAAAACUAAAAUUUAGUAUCAGCAUAAACUUGGUAAAUCUAAUGGCACAAGACAAAAAGUCUACCAGCUACAUUAGCCAGCCAAGCCAAAAUUGUUCGAGAGUGGAGAAGGUAGUUGCUUUUCUCUAACACUGUCAAUUAGGACAAAAACAACUUACCAACUUAUAGCAUGUUUGGCUAACAGUUGCAACUUUUCUAAAUGCUCAAAAUAAAAUAUACAAAGAGUAUUCUUCUCCAGGAGUACAUUCAAUUCAUUAUCCAAAAUCAAAAAGUACCUUUAGAACAGUUAUCCGAACAAGCACUCAAUUAACAAAAAGCCACAUCUCUCUUUCCAAAGAAGAUGCCCCUUUCCAUAGACAGUCAGUGAGAAAUCAAUGCAGUAUUUUCACUUCUUUCAGAACAAAUUAUUAGUAGUAACAACAACUAACAAGCACCUCUUAAUUUGCACGGAUUACCAACUGCUAGAAAUCUACUGCUUAGCUCCACUUCAAGAAAACACAAGUAUCAAAGUGAAGGGAUGUUGUGGCAAUGCAUUCAAUACAGUGAAAAUAACAAUACUACAUUUUGCUGUAGAUACCCCACGGUAUAUAUAAAUUAAACCCUAAAAAACAUCAGUCAAAAGGUAAUGUCGUACCAACGAAAGUUGACGUUCACCGUUGGAACAGCGAAUUUUGAUAUUCACCAUUUGCGGCGUUCCGCUCUGUGGUGGCACUCUCAGUGGCAGCGGCAUCACCUCCCAUGUUGUCCUUCAUCCAAAGCACGGCGGGAGGAGAUUGAUGUUCACCACUCCUUAAUAAUUGAAAUUGAGGGAGAAAGGGAUUGAAACCCUAACCCUAGAAAGAUUGAGGAAGAAUUGGAAGAAUUUGGGAGAAAGUGAAAACGGAGAGAAAUUGAGAGAUGACACACAGAAAUCCGGACGGAAAUUAAUUAAGAAAAUAAAAAAAUAUUGUGUUGCAAGAACUGGGUGCGGAUGAAAAAAAAUACUUACACAUACAAACUAUUUAUUAAAAUUUAAACCACGCUGAAAGAAUUUGGUACAGAAAGAGAACUGGACAUCAAAUUGAUAACGGCAAGAUCUAAGGGAACCUUGAAAUUUCAAACAAAGAGAUUACCUUACCAACUGUAGGCACGAGAUGUACCAAGCGAACUUAGGCUCAAGAAAAACCCAGCCAGUCAAGGACGAUGACGACGGAGGGACGACAGAGGCACGGCAGACGGAGACACGCACGCCGGACGAAACCAGGGAUGACAGAGGGCCACAGGCACGACGGAGGGCAAGAGAAAAUUGAAGUUUUUCGAUGGGGAGGCGGACAGAGCAUGCGCAUGACCAAAUUUUAAAUUAGUUACUCAGUGAACCAAGACGGUCAUAGACAACGACCGUCAUUGUGUUUAUUCGAUUUAUUUACAAAAUUGUCAUUACGUGUCAUUCUAAGACAGUUCCUUAUGACUGUCUUAGAACCUACGACGUAAAUAAUAAUUAUGAUGAUAUUAAUUAUAAAAAUGCCACCACGUUGUUUUUUAAGAAGGCGGUUAGUAGUGUCUGUAUCCCAAUGACAACCAAUUAUUAGAAGGUUUUUUUGCCGGAAUCUUUGUCCAAUUGCAUUUAUCUGCAGGUUUUAGAUCUUGGAAACAAUCAAAUAAAGGAUGUGUUUCCCCAUCGGCUUCAAACUCUACCAGAAUUGUAAGUAUUGGUUUUGCGAGCCAACAACAAGUUGUACGGUCGCAUUCGGUUUAAAGACCAAGCAUGUGGAUUCCCCAGUUUAGUCAUCUUUGAUGUCUCUUCCAACAACUUUAGUGGCCCAAUACCAAAAGCCCUCAUAAAAUUUGAAGCCAUGAAGAACGUUGUUCAAGAUGCCUAUAGCCAAUACAUGGUGGAAUAUGCUUUUAUUGAUGAUGGAAACAUGCAUUCUUCUUUGACUUUAGGACUUGUGAACAUGUACAGUUCUGUGACUAUAACAACAAAGGCAAUUACUAUGACAAUGCACAUAAUUCGAAAUGACUUUGUAAGCAUUGAUUUAUCGCAAAACAGAAUUCCAAACACAGAUUUAUUCUAUUAAUAUAAAAAACCAACAAUUUACCAAUAUAUUUAUCUAUUAUCUUUAUAAUAUAUAAAAUUUGAUCAAUUGCAGAUUAUGUCAAUGCCAGGUGACUUUUUCUUAGGUUAUUCCAUGCCAUGUAAGAAAAAUUUUAGCUAUUUCGUUUCUAACUCCCUCAGGCACAUGUUGUCUUACAUGGCAAUUAAUUCUAUGACCGGAUGACCAUAUAAAAAACCUUGACACAGAUAUGGAAAGAUUUUCAAGAGCUGUCCUAAGGAGGUUCAUUGUCUUGAUGACUAGGAGAGUGUAAGAUAUUAAUAGCCAGCAAUUUCUGGGCCACACCAGCUUGCUGCAAACUACUUGGGAGGCACACAAAAGGCUAAGAAUGCUGUUUUCUGAACCUUAAUCAAUUGAUGGUCUGAAAAAAUAUUUUCCAUUUCAUAAAUACUCGGGCAAUGGAUACAGUAGAUCAAUGGCUAGGAAGGAAAGUCCUGGUUCUUGAAGAGGCUUCUAAUUUGAGUUCCAAUAAGUUUUCAGACAAUAAAAAUUUCCAUAUUUGGUUAUUCAUCUUAUUUGAUAAUAAUCAGUAUUUGAAAUAUUAAAUAUAACAGUUUACUCUAAAAGUGAUUGAACACAUGAUCAUGAGUUUAGAGCCUUCUUUGGAGGAACAAGAAAAGUUUGGUCAAAGUUUAAGAUUAUUUCUUCCACAUUUGCUUCAUUGCCUUUUAAACUUUCAGAGACAUAAUUUUCAUCGCAGUAUCAAGGUAACAAAGCAAUACACGACUAACCACACAUGACACACCACUAAACAGGCUGGGUUCACUGAUUUAAUUAUGAGGAUCACUGAAUUCUCCUUUCCUCGGAUACAUAUGUUAUGCAUGUAUGCAUGCUCCGGGAUAUUAUGCACUACAUGUUGGAUUCUAUAAUGUUUCAAAGAGAAAAUUGCCAAGACAUUAAACAAGAUUUCUUAGAACCCUUAGAAUUAGAUAUGAAAAAUAGAAGAGAAGACGGAGAAGAAGAUACAAAAUUGAAGGACAAUAUAUUAACUCUGCUGGUUGCAGGCCAUGAUACCACAAUUAUUCUCAUACAUAGCUCAUCAAAUAUCUUGAUGAAAAUCCAACUGUUCUGGAACAACUGAGAGUAAAUAUUAAGAACCUAUAAUGUUUAUCCUUUAUGAAUGCUGAUGUUUUUGUAGGAGGUGCACAAACAAAUUGUUGCAAACAGAAGGAGUCGAACAAUCUUACAAUGUUUGAAGUUAAUAGCAUUUCCCUUUAUCUGCGGCGACGCUUCCUCGCCAGGUUUGUAGCUCUGUUCCUAACUGAAUAUUUGGGUGCUUUGGUUUGUCUCUGAAAUGAGCUCUAUGUUUGUUUCUGAGCAACGGCUUUCCUUUGUCUAUGAGCUUUUAGGUUCGAAGCAUAUUUCACUUUCAACCUUACCCUCGAGGCAUAUUUUUGCAGCGUAGUUGAGGUCAUGAGUGCAUUCACAUUUUAAAGUCCCCACAAGCUAAUAAUAGAAGCAGGUCCUUUGCUCAUAAGAAUAGGGUUCAUGACUUCAUGUAUGUGCACUGGACCAUCCUGUGCAGUAGGGUUGCAAACAAUUGAGUAGGGACUAGGGAUUGCUAGUGGGAAAUGUAUUAGCAUGGAUAUUCUUUUACUUGUUUUGGAACUGAUAUAACAGGCUUUGGUUCUUAAACGUGUAUUGUUCAUAAACAUCUUAAGUUAAGGUCUGAUUUGAGCAUUUGAGCUUGUAACAUGGAUGCUUUAAUGGAACAAGAUGUAAAAAAGUCGAAUUGAACCUUGCUGGUAAAAUCACAAUCACACCCCUCCUCCACCUACAGGUACAUCACUUAGCGUGCUAGCACUUCAUGUCUAGCAAGAGGAGUGAUAGCUUUGUAACUAACAAACUGCCAUAACAUUUUUUAGUUAAUUACUAGAUAUAUUCUUGACAAUAUUAAUAGCAUCAACGUACAAUGAUGGACUAUUGUUGAACAAUGAGUUGUCUCCCGCAAGGCUGCAACUUAUAAUUAAAUACUCAUUUUAAACUAUUUUUAUGAGAAUUUUAAGAUUGUUACGAGCUUGUCUGAGUUUAUGGAUCAAUGGCUGUUAUGGAGUUCAAUAAUUUUACAGCUCAUCAACCUCAUCUUACUUGAAAAUAAUUAAAUUACACAAUUAAACGAGCCACCCUAAAAAUUUAAAUUAUCUAGAGGGCUAAAAUAACGAACAUUGUCAAUACUGGGUGAAGAUAAUACACCCAUUCUGAUCGACUCUUCUCAUCAACCCAACGGAGACUGAAUUUGCAGUCAAUGUCAAGAAAACCUUAUUAAUUGCAGAUUUGCAGUACUCUCUCUGCGCAAUGAAGUAAAAAGUUACUAUUAAUUAUUUUAUAAUAAAUCACAAUUAGAGUAUUACAGUAAUUGUAGACUUGCAGUCAACAUUAACAACAAAUAUAUAAAGGUUGUCUAUAUUUACAUUAACAUAUCUUCUUAAUUAUGUUUGCGUUUUCUUACUUUUUGUUUUGGUUUUUAAUUUCAACUUGGUUUUCUCGUUUAAGGUGUUGUAAUUUGCACACUUAAGAAAAGGCGAUGUAAUUGAAACUCUAUUUUCUAUGCCCAUUCUUUCUUAAGCUACAUCACUCCAAAAAACAUGCUAGUUUCUAUGCCCAUUCUUUCUUAAGUCCUACCCUUUUGGCGUGUAAGCUACAACCUAGCAUGGCUUCAGCUCCGAGCCUCUUAGUCCCUGUCGCUUAAGCAAUAUUCCCCACUAUAACACCGUGAAACUCUAUUUUCUUGCAAACUGAACAACUCCUCAAGCCUCUCAGCCUUACCCCCAAGGAUUCCAAAUCAAAUAGUACUCUUUCCAAACAUAAACACCAACAUCAAAUACAAACUAAUUGCAGAUAAACACUCAUAAUUCAUAGAUUAAAUUUCCUUUGACACAUUCACAACCCGUCCAAGAUCAACAAACAUAAAACAUAUGAACAUUCAAGCUUACACAUGGACAUUGAAUCAUACAAAAGAAUGAGAGCUCACUCCCCCUACCUCACAAUAAGAGAAACGUAGAGAAGAGGCAUUCAGGCUUUUAAUAGUAAUAUAAUAUUAUUCUCUAUUUUUCUCUGUAUCGUGUUAUUCAUUAACUUGAUUAUUAUUUUUUCUUUUCUUUUUGCAUUGCUCAUACUUUUUAUUUUUUUCCACUUCAAGAGUUAAUAUAUGUAUUUUUUAUUUGUUGGUUCUUAUAAUUAAUGAACUCAAUGUAGCAAUAUAUUAUUUUUUUAUUCUUUAAUGUAAAGAGCGCAUAUAUAAAAUUAUUGCUUACUAAAAGAAAUAAAGGAUAAAUGUUUUAGCUAGUAAACAAAAAUCUAAUCAUAUUUAUAUAAAAUUUAUCAUUGUAAUAAUUCUGUCAUAUUGUCAAGUAUGAUUGAUUGUUACCGAUUGUAUAAAGUCACAAUUAGUAUUGAAUCACUAAUAAUUUGAAAUUCCUUUAGAAAGACUAGUAAUUUGAAAUUAUAUUUAACUAGCUAGUAGAUAUGUAUAUCAGUAUAUUAAUAAUAAAAUGUUGACAAAAAAAACCCCGUUAAUUCUCUUUCUUUUUUUCUUGCAGUGCAUGAUGAUAAUAAAAAUAACAUAUAAUAAUAAUUCAAGAGUUAGCUCGUGUAGUCAUGUAGUUAAACGUAAAAGUAGGGGUUGACUCAUAUUCACAAAUUAAAACAUGUAAACUGAUGAAAAAUAUUUACUCAAGAUUAGUUCAUCCAAUUAAGUAAGGGUGCAUUUAUUUUUAAAUAAUUUCAUGAGUUAUGAUUUUUGUAAACUUCAUUAAAUAGAAAAAAUAAUAUAAUUUCCAAACUAAUUUACUCAGAAAUUAAAAAGAAUAAUAAUUCUACUAUUUAAUCACUACACAUUAAAUAACUAAUUUAUUUUCCGCACAUCACGCAGCUGGUCCAUUUUUUUAUUAAAUGUAAUUUUUAUCUUUUUAUUUUCUAAAAUACGCACGUCACACAGCUGGUAAAGACUACUAAACCCAUCAUCUCCAAUAAACGAUGCUUGAUGAGUUUCUUAGGAUAAUAAAUGAAUUAUUAUUUUUUUGUUGUUUUUCUGUUGAUAUUGUAGGUUUCUUAAAUUUUAGCUUGAGUAUUUUAUAUAAGCAAUCAAUCUUCAAAGUUUUUUUUUUAAAAAAAAUUUAAUAUGCUCUAAAAGACUCAAAGUGAUUAUAUUAUAUUUUUAUCAUUAAAGAUGCAUGCCCUUAAAUAACUUAGUUAAUGCAUAGAAUAAAUAGAAGCAAUAAUUGUUUUUGUUAAAAAAAAUCAUUACUACUGUGGACUUGUUGUGUGCUACUGGGUCUCCUAAAGCGAUGGAAGGCAUCCCUGGCAGCCUUGGUUGGCCUAUUGUGGGAGAGAGUUUCUCAUUCCUCUCUGAUUUUUCAAGUCCCUCUGGAAUCUUUAGCUUCAUGAACAACAGGCAAUAUAUAUAUAAUAUCAAAACUUAGAAAUGAGUUACUUUUGAUACACAGUUUAAAAAUUUACACGGUUAUUAUCAACUAAUUAGAAAUCACUUUAAGUAUGUCUUAUGAUUUUAAUCUCUCAAAUUUAUACGGCUGUUGUUUUAGUCCCUCAAAUAAAAAUAUGUAUUUUUUAUUCUUAAAAUUCAAAAAAUAUUAGUCACUCUUCUCAAAUAAAAUUUGUAUCUUUUAGUCUCACAAACUUUGAGAGGGACUAAACGAGUAUUUUAUAAAUUUGAAAAACUAAAAAAUAAUUUUCUUUAGAGAAUUAGAAAAGAUAGGCACAUAGUUUGAUAAAAACAUAAUUAAACCUUUAAAGUAAUUAUUCACAAGAGAACAGAUUCCAAGUACAUGACUCCCCAUUAGAUGACAUGAUACUGCAAAAAAAACCCUUUAUACUUUUCUUUUUACAAUUACAUGCUAGGAGCAAAAGAAUUCCUAGGAUUUUCUUUUUCUUGGAUAACUUUUAUUUUCUCAUAGAUAUGGAAAGGUUUUCAAGAGCUUCGUCCGGGGGAGGUUCACUGUAUUCAUGACUGGGAGAGAAGCAAGUAAGAUUUUGUUAACCGGAAAAGAUGGGAUUGUGAGUUUGAAUCUGUUUUACACUGGCCAGCAAGUUCUGGGCCCCACCACUUUGCUGCAAACCACUGGAGAGGCACACAAAAGGCUAAGAAGGCUGAUCGGUGAACCUUUAUCAAUUGAUGGACUGAAAAAAUAUUUCCAUUUUAUCAAUACUCAGGCAAUGGAAACAUUAGGUCAAUGGCAAGGAAGGAAAGUCCUGGUUCUUGAGGAGGCUUCUACAGUUGAGUUUCAAUAAGUUGUCAAAGAAAAUUUCUUAUUUGGUUAUACAUUUCAUUCUAUACUAAGUAAUUGAAAUUUUGAAUAUUACAGUUUACUCUAAAAGUGAUUGGACAUAUGAUCAUGAGUUUAGAGCCUUCUGGGGAGGAACAGGAAAAGUUUAGGUCAAAUUUUAAGAUUAUCUCUUCCUCAUUUGCCUCUUUGCCAUUUAAACUUCCAGGGACAGCAUUCCAUCAUGGUAUCAAGGUAACAGAAUAUUGCAUAACUAACCUCACACUAAAUAUGUGCACUGAUUAAAUUUUGAAGAUCACUGAACUCUCAUUUCCUCUGAUGCAAUGCUAUAAAUCUGUGCAGGCUCGGGAUAGGAUGUAUGAGAUGUUGGAUUCUACAAUUUCGCGGAGGAGAAGUGGCCAAGAAUUUCAACAGGAUUUCUUAGGAUCCUUAGUUAUGAAACAUAGCAAAGAAGAUGGGGAAGAAGAUGAAAAUAAACUCAGAUAAACAAUUGAAGGAUAAUAUAUUAACUCUGCUGGUUGCGGGCCAUGAUACCACAACAGCUGCUCUUACAUGGCUCAUCAAAUUUCUUGGUGAAAAUCCAAUUGUUUUGGAACAAUUGAGAGUAAGUAUUGAAUCCCCUAUAGUCUUCUGCUUUAGAUGUUUGAAGAUUUUCAAAUGUAGCUUCAUGAAUGCGAUGUUUUGCAGGAGGAACACAGACAAAUUGUCAUCAACAGAAAGAGUGGAACAGAUCUUACUUGGGCUGAAGUUAAUAACAUGCCUUACACGGCUAAAGUGAGCAACAAUAACUUUAGCUUGCAAGUAACUUCAAGUUUUUAUGUCUCACCAAGAUUAUCGGUCAUUUAAAUUUCAGGUGAUCAGUGAAACACUUCGAAGAGCCACAAUACUACCUUGGUUUUCAAGAAAGGCAUCCCAGGAUUUUGAAAUUGAUGGUAUGGCAAUACAGAAUGGCCAAAUAUGACUAUAUAAUGUGUGUUUGUGUGUGUAUGUUGUAACCGUUGUUCUUUGAAUGAGACUCGAAGUUGAUGUUAAAUUUGGCAGGUUAUAAAAUUAAGAAAGGUUGGUCUGUCAACCUAAAUGUUGUUUCUAUACACCAUGACCCCGAAGUUUUCCCAGAUCCUGAAAAGUUUGAUCCCUCUAGAUUUGAUGUAAGUUGCUUCCUGAAAAGAGACUUUAAUAGCCAUUUCUAUUCUAAGGACCCCAAAAUUGAUAUUUUCAUUUAAUUGCAGGAAACCCUGAGGCCUUUCAGUUUUCUUGGAUUUGGUAGUGGACCACGCAUGUGUCCUGGAAUGAACCUUGCCAAGCUAGAAAUUUGUGUUUUCAUCCAUCAUCUUGUCAACAGAUACAAGUAAGAUUAGAACAGAUUUUGAAUAGUGAAGAUAAUCACAUUGCACCUAGAAAAUGGACAAUCACACUAGAUUUUCCAAAACAACAUCUAUUCCAUUCUUUUCUGUUUAUUUCAGCCUUGUCUCUUCCAUAUUCAUUUUCCUUGUUUAAACUAAAUAUUCCAUGAGUUUAAUUUCUGUGUUAGGAAACAUGAUUUCAGAGGAGAGGAAGAGAGAAAAACUGGGAGAAACUGAAAAUUUUCUGUUAGCUUAAUGAAGUGGUAUAAUUACAAGAUGAUUAUAUUAGUCUUUAUAUAGGCUCACUACCAAUCACAAACUACAUCUCUAAUACUAUGCACUUGUCAACCAAUUGGAAAUCAUAAUAAGUAUGACUUAAUUAUUGUAAAAGUCAACAAUUGCAUACAAUAAAAUUUGUGAUUGAAUAACAUUAUAAAACCCUUUCCACUAUCAGUACAUUAACUAUUUAUUAAAAAAAAAUUGCUACAGUUGGAGACCUCUGGAGAAAGACAAUUCUGUGCAACCAACGCUUGUAAGGAUGCCAAAGAACAAGUAUCCUAUUAUAGUUGAAGCACUAGGACACGAUUCCUCCAGAAACUACAAACAAACAACAGAAGAAAAGAUAGCACAGAAAAAUGUUGUAUAUGAACAGAAUCAUUGUAUCUUUAUUGUUGCUGCAUGGAGAGAAAUUAUGAACCAAAUCAUGCUUUAUUACUUGUGAGGAAAGAUACUAAUCCUCAAUGAAUAAUACACAUUUCCUUUUUCAGUAUGUAAGUGGUACGGUACUCGUGCUCGGGUUGCUGGCUUCGAGGGCCAGGGGCCUCCUAAGAAGAAGAAAAGGGAUAAAGGGAGUCACGAAGGUAAUGAAGAAGGAGCGUAAUUGUUCUUAUUCAUUUGCUAGUUAUUUACAUAUAUUUAUAAUGCCCAAUUGCUACAUGUAAUUAUCCAUAUUUGCAGGAAUAUCUGCAUAACAGAAUUUGAUUCUCGAUGCUUCCUAGCAAGAGACAUUUUGAUCUAGCAAAUCCUGUGCUGCCAGCUCAGCUCCUCAUCAUUUGCAAUUCCUUCUUCAAGCAUAAUCUCUGAGGUAUGCGGGCCUGGUAAUCUUCCUUUUCGGUUUUGCUGUUGGUACCCCUGUGUUUAUGUCUGUUGCUUCCUCUGUGUCUUCUUCUGGUGUUGCUCUGUUGCUAUCAUCUUCCCGUGGCCCUUGGAGAAUCACCUUGUCCUCAAGGUGAUAGGUCCGCUUCAGUUGAUCCCAAUCUUCCCAAGAGGUGUCAUCAGGAAGUAACCCCUUCCAUUGAACUAAAACCUCCCAUGGUCCCUCAGUGGUUGCAGCACGACGAGUAUCCAAAAUUGCCAAGGGAGAAAUAAUUGGCUGAUUAUUGAAGAAUUGGUCUGGAAGUGAGGGGGUCUGACUGAUGGCGGGAUCCCCAUGGAAAGGUUUUAAAAGUGAACAGUGGAAUAUGGGAUGAAUUCGCGUGCCCUCUGGUAAUUCCAAACAAUAAGCAACCUUACCAAUUCUCUCGAGAAUCUUGAAGGGACCGUAGAAGCGCUUAGCUAACUUGCCGGAGCUGUGCUGAGCAUCCUUGGCCGAACGCUGUCGGUAGGGCCGAAGCUUUAAAAGUACCCAAUUACCAACCUCAUAGUCAACUUCACGCCGUUUAGUAUCAGCAGUGCGUUUCAUCGUAGCUUGGGCUUUUAAUAGCUUCUGACGAAUGCAAAGAAAAACUUCCUCACGGUGCUUCAGAGUAUCAUCCACCGCAUCUAGUUUGGAGGAGCCAGUGAUAUAGUCUGGAAAAGAGAAAGGUUUCCGCCCAAACGUUAUCUCAUACGGCGUAGAGCCCGUGCCUGCAUUUCAGGAAGUGUUAUGCGAUAAUUCAACCCAGGGAAGGAAUCUGCCCCAAGUCCCCGGCCGGCGGUGCACGAAAGCCCGCAAAUAUUGCUCUAUUACUCUGUUCAUGACUUCAGUCUGACCAUCACUCUGUGGAUGGUAGGCUGAACUCAUUCGAAGCCUUGUACCACUCAAUUUAAAAAGCUCCUGCCAAAAGGUACUCAGGAAAAGUGGAUCGCGAUCUGAAACUAAACUCCGAGGUUGACCAUGGAGUUUGACCACGAUGUCAAUGAACAAAGAGGCGACCAUGUGUGCCGUAUGCGCGGUGGGUAAGGUGCCCAAGUGAAUACCCUUAGAAAAUCGGUCCACAACAACAAGUAACACCGUUUUGCCCUGAUAUGAAGGGAGCCCAGUGAUGAAAUCAAGGGAGAGGUCCUCCCAUGGCCGAAAGGGAACAGGUAAGGGACAAAGCAACCCGGCUGUGCGUUUCGUCUCAUAUUUGGUGAAUUGGCAGUCAGAGCAAUUGGCCACGAAGGUCGCAACAUCAGAACGGAGUCCCGGCCAUGUGAAAUUUUCCGAUAGCCUAGCUAUCGUCUUUGCGACGCCCAUAUGGCCCCCCAUCGGCGUCGCGUGGUACUCUAGCAUGAGUGUCUGAAUGAGAGGAAGCUCGCGGGGUAACCAAAUUUUGCCCUUGUAAAGGAUGAAAUUCUGACUAAGAGUGUAAUCGGGGUAGGUGGUGGGAGAAUUGAUGAUGUCCUGUCGGUGCUGACAAUACUGAGAAUUAUUGGUGAGCUGCUGACGUAAUUCAUCAAGAAAGCUCAAACAAGGAAUAGAUAAGAGCAACGAAAGUGAAGGAGUGAAUUCCGGUGACCGUGAGAGGGCAUCAGCUGCUUGGUUGUGCUUCCCGGAGCGGUACUGGAUUUGAUAAUCAAAUCCCAUUAAUCGGGCCAGGUACAUAUGUUGUUCGGGUGUUUGAAUAACUUGGGUGAGCAACUCUUUCAAGCUCCUAUGAUCGGUGACAAUGGUGAAUGAGUGGCCCAAGAGAUAUUGGCGCCACUUUUUCACUGCAGAGGUAAUAGCAAAUAAUUCACGAACAUAGGUGGAGGCCCUGAGGAGCUUCUUAGGGAAUGGCUUGCUGAAAUAAGCAAUGGGGUGUCCUCUCUGAGAUAGGACAGCGCCCAUGCCAUUGCCGGAAGCGUCAGUCUCCACUGUGAAAGGCUCCUGAAAGUCUGGAAGUGCAAGAACAGGAGUAGUUGACAAAGCCGAUUUGAGGUCUUCAAAGGCCUGUUGAGCUUGUGGGGUCCAACGAAAGGGGUCCGAGGUGGCCUUAACCAAAGGGUCAGCAAUCAUGGCAUAUCCCCGAAUAAAUCUACGAUAAAACCCGGCGAGCCCCAAAAAACUUCGAACAGCUCUGGUGGAGUGAGGUUGAGGCCAAUUAACAAUGGCAACAAUCUUAUCAGGCAUGGGCUCAACUCCGCGUUGGGAAACUAAAUGUCCCAAAUAUUCAACCUGUGAUUAACCAAAGGAACAUUUAGAUUUCUUAAGAACGAAGUGGUUGUCAAGCAGAACCUGGAAAGUUAAGUCCAGAUGGUGCAAGUGAUCAUCAAAAGAGCUGCUGUAGAUAAGUAUGUCAUCGAAGAAGACGAUGACGAAGCGACGAAGGAAGGGCCUGAAAAUGAGGUUCAUUGUAGCUUGAAAGGAAGAUGGAGCAUUACAGAGGCCAAAGGGCAUCACUCUGAACUCAUAAUGUCCAUGAUGAGUUCGAAAUGCAGUUUUAGGGAUAUCCUCUGAAUGCAUGCGUAUUUGAUGAUAACCUUGGAGAAGAUCGAGCUUGGAGAAGCAUUGAGCGCCCCCCAAUUCAUCAAGUAAUUCGUCUAUGGUGGGUAUCGGAAAUCUGUCCUUGACGGUGAGGGAAUUCAGUGCCCGGUAGUCGACACAAAAUCUCCAUGAUCCAUCAUGCUUCUUCACCAAUAAGACUGGGGAGGAAAAAGGGCUUGUACUGGGUUGGAUCAAACCCUUCUGAAGCAUUGAGUCGACUUGCAAUUCGAUUUCCUGUUUUUGGAAAUGGGGGUAACGAUAAGGUCUAACGUUGACCGGCGUUGAUAGGGGUAGUAAAUGAAUGUGGUGGUCAGUGGGACGUGGUGGUGGAAGUGUCGGAGAUGGUUGAAAGAGGACAUCGUACUUGGUGAGCAGAGCUUGAAGGGAAGGGGGUAAGGUGUCUGGGGAAGAAGGUGGGGUGUCAUCAGAAAGGACCGUGAUCUGAAAAUAAAGGCCCUGGGGCUGUGUCCGACAAAGACGGCAAAACUGGGAUGAAGUCAUGGAGCUCAGGCUAGCUUCGGGGUCUCCCUGUAAAGUAAUCAAUUGAUCAUUGUGAAUGAAUUGCAUGCUUAAGGUUGAGUAAUCAGUCAACACAGGGCCGAGGGAUUUGAGCCACUAGACCCCGAGGACCACGUUGGCACCCGAGAUUGGGAGGACAUGGAGGUCGACCGUGAAGCUGUGAUUCUGAAUCUGAACGGAAAUGGCGUCACAUAUGGAAUGACACUCCAAAUAUUGGCCAUUACCCACCAUUACACGCAAAGGAGAAGUGGUCCGGCAAGAGAGGCCCAAUUGGGUCACCAAUUGUUGCUGAACAAAGUUGUGGGUACUGCCCCCAUCAACCAGUAGCAACAAAGGGUGGCCGGAGAUGGCACCGAUGAAGCGUAUUGUCUCCGGAGCGACAUGGCCAGCAAGGGAAUUAAGUGAAAUUUGGGCUGAGUAUGAAAGUGGGCUUUCGGGUGGGUCUGUGGGUUGGAUAGGUACCGGGUCAUGAGUUAAAGUAAUGGGCGGGUCAAAAUUGGGUAUAUGAGAAAGGGGCGGGUCUUCCUCAUCAGUUAUGAGGAGAAAAAACCUAGAGGAGCAGCGGUGCCCUCGAUGGAAUUUCUCCUCACAAUUGAAACAGAGGCCACGUUCCCUUCGAGAGGCAAUUUCCUCUGGGGACAACCGUUUCCAGGUUUGGGGCGGUGGUCGCGGGGGCGGGGGUGGUAAGAGAGGUGGUAAGGUCGAAGAAAGUGGCGGUGAGGGUGUCUUGAGGAUAGGGGAAAGGGGUGGAGAGGAUACGGGGGCAGUAGGGUUGACUUGGGGAAAGGAGGGAAACACUGAGGGUGAUCUCUGGAAUUGGGGCAAAGGGGAAGGACGAGGACGAGGGUGUUGACGCAUCUCGGAGAACUUCUCCUCCUGCAAGCGCGCGAGACCCGCGGCUUGAACCAGGGUGGCCGGCUGGUGGGCUUGAACUUCUCUCCGUAUCUCCGGGAUGAGGCCGGAGAUAAAGCAACUAAGAAGGAAGGUGGAGGGCAACCCCGUCGUGCGAUUAGCAAGGUCCUCAAAGUCAGAGAGGUACUGGGUUACCGUCCCGGUCUGGGUAAGCUUGCUCAAAGCUCCGGAAGGGUCCUCGAAUUGUGAAGGGGCAAAGCGAGUGCGCAGUGCAUGCAAGAAGGCAGGCCAUGACGGAAAUUGCUCAGAGGUGUUCAUCCAUUGAAACCAGGCAAGCGCGCGACCUUCCAUAUAAAAGGAAGCAAUGGUGAGUUUGUCUGAGUCUGGGGUACCAUGGUACUCAAAGAAUUGAGUUAUUUUGUAAAUCCAGCCAAGUGGGUCUGACCCAUCAAAUCUUGGCACAUCUAAUUUCAAUCUGUGUAUGGGUGUAGGUGCCGGCGGUGGUAACGGCGGUGGAGUGGGUGGCGUGGUGGAGAACACUGGAGAAACUCGUUGAAUGAGUUCGUCAAUCUUGAGAGUCAUGGCAUUGACAGACUCUCCAAGAUAUAGCUGCUGUUUAGUGAGUCGGCUGAGGACAUCCUCCAGCUUGUCCGACGAAAAUGAGGCGGGUUCAGGGUCUACCAUGGUGAAGAGCAACGAGAGCACCAAAUUGGUACGGUACUCGUGCUCGGGUUGCUGGCUUCGAGGGCCAGGGGCCUCCUAAGAAGAAGAAAAGGGAUAAAGGGAGUCACGAAGGUAAUGAAGAAGGAGCGUAAUUGUUCUUAUUCAUUUGCUAGUUAUUUACAUAUAUUUAUAAUGCCCAACUGCUACAUGUAAUUAUCCAUAUUUGCAGGAAUAUCUGCAUAACAGAAUUUGAUUCUCGAUGCUUCCUAGCAAGAGACAUUUUGAUCUAGCAAAUCCUGUGCUGCCAGCUCAGCUCCUCAUCAUUUGCAAUUCCUUCUUCAAGCAUAAUCUCUGAGGUAUGCGGGCCUGGUAAUCUUCCUUUUCGGUUUUGCUGUUGGUACCCCUGUGUUUAUGUCUGUUGCUUCCUCUGUGUCUUCUUCUGGUGUUGCUCUGUUGCUAUCAGUAGGUAUAGUGCUAGUACGGAAAGCAACUACAAAUAAUUAAUAUCCUAUUGAUUCUGUUUCACCCCGUCGUUAUCCACUCAUCAGUAUUAGUCAUUGCAUUGCUUAACAGACUGUAAAAGCAUAAGAAUUCUUAAAAAAAUUGGUAUAUGAAACUGAAAAUUUUAUAGACAAUCUUCAUUUAGACAUAAAAUACACUUUUUCUUGCGACUGCAACGUCAAGGAUUCUGUUGUCUUGUUGAAUAUUGUUUAGCUAUUUGAAAAGUUAAAUCCUACAUUGUUUGACAAUUGAUAUUGAAACUUUUAAUGUCUGUAGUUUGUUAUUGAAGCUCAUAAAAAAGUAAGAAGAUUAGAUUCAUGCACACAAAAUUUGAUUAACUUGACACUAUUGAAGUUCAAAAUUUACAGAUUUGUUUAGAGGUGUUCAUCAUAUUAGAUUAACCAUAAAUGGAAUUAAGCCAAAAUAAAACCUAAGUCUCAUUUUUUAGAGUAUUGACCUAAAGUCAAUUCCAAUAGCAGUGUUGGGAAACACCUCAAUAACGUUAUGGUACAAAAUGAAUGCUUAUUUUGACUUAAUAAUUAAAAGAGCGAAUUGCAAUACCUCCUUAGGUUUCAUGAAAUUAUAUAAGUAUUUCUCUUUUUUUAACCAUUACAUUCACCUCUGUAUGUCUUAUCUUUGCAUAGAGUACUGACUUCCAAUUGAAUUAUAAGUAGCAUUAUGACAACGUUUUGGAUGGGAUAGAAAAUGAAAAAGGUGACUUUUAGUUGUCGAUAUUGACGAUGACAAAUCCAAAAUUUUUACUUGUGAAUAUUUUACGUUAAUAAAUAAAUAAAUGAUUUUAAACAUAUAAGUUAUCUGAAAUUUAUAGUGAAUAAUGUAAAUAUAUAAUUUCGUUAAAUUUAUAAUGAACAAUUUAAAUUGAAGGGGUUAGUUACUGAAAAAAAUUAUUCUGAAAUGUAAUAUUCUUUAAAUACUUGUAUUGAAUUUCGAUUCUUUUAUAUCCAUAAUUCAUCAAGUAUUUAUUAUUAUAUUAUUGCCCAGAAAAGAAAGUCCUUAAAAUUAAUAAUGCAUGUAUUUGUUAUGCACGCAUGAAUUGUACUCUAUCUUCUCCGUUGUUUACAAAAGAAUCCAACAAAUUAAAAUGGAAUAUCCUUUUCUCUAGGACCACAACACCAAUGCAAUUGAGAAAUUGGUUUUUCAGAGUUCGAGUAUUUCAACUAUAUAAAAUAUUUUUAUAACACAGCAUGAAUAUCUAAUAUUAUUGGAAACGAUAUUAAUGAAUGAAAAGAUAAACAUUUCUUUUUAAACUUUAUACAUCAUUCAAAUAAUUAUUUCAUGUAUCAUGUUUAACAUUUCCUAAUUUUUAAUUAUAUUCUCUUCUUCUAAAAUAUAAUGACAUGUACACCAAUUAACAAAGUUUAUGUUGUUUACAACUUUCUUUCGAAAAGAAAUGUUGUUUACAACUUAUUUAUCACGUUAAUUAUUAUCAUACUCUUUCUUUUUCAAACAAAAUUUAUAAUCAUAUUUUCUUAUAAAAUUUAAUUCUAACAUUUAAUUUUAUUCUCAUGUUCAACAACCACUACUAAAAACACUAUUAUUUACGCGUUGAUUUUAAAUUGGCGAUGACAUUUUUGUAAUAAACUCAAACGUAAGGCCGACUUUUGUAAAACCGCUUUGAAGAGUUACGGGGUGAACCACAUUAAUUACACUUACAGCUCAUCCACAAUAUCCUAACAAUGUGCAACUCCUAAAUUGUGACAAAUAUAAGAUUUCUAAUUUAUAAAUAUUUUAAUUUGUAAAUUAAAUUUAAAAUAAUUUUUUAAAUAAUAUAAUUUUGAAAAAAUAUGUUAAUUUUAUGCAUGAAAAAAGAAAGAUAUCCCGUGAAGUUGAAGACAAUACAAUUGAAAUGGCAAUACUGAAUAGUGAGCAGAAUCACGGUAGCGUUAUGAGAGGGUUAGUAAUUGAAUGAAAUGACAGUACUGAGGAUAACCUUGCUGCAGCGUUAUGAAAGGGUUUAGAAAAUGGAUGUUAUGAAACGUGUGUGCAGCAAGUCACUCUUGUAGCUUAUAAUUUUAUUUUCUUUGAUUAGCAUAUAAGUUUAUUUAAUCAUCAAAAUAAACUUAUUUUAAUACCUUCUAAUUUUAACUUAGAUUCUCUAUGCCCCAAUAACCCUGUACAGCACACAAUUUAUUCUCAGACGCUUUUUCAACUAGUAUUUUAGCUUAAUAUAAGUUACUAAUUUAUUUAUUUUAUUUUUAUCCUUAUUAUUUUACUUGAAAUUUUUUUAUCACUGCUUUUAAAAUAAAUUUAUUUAAUUAAAUUAUUUUUUUGGGAAAAGAAGGAGGCACGUCAUAAAAAAACAAAAUAAAAUAAAACUACAACACUCCAUUGUUUUCAAAAGUCAUAAAUUCAUUUACAUCAGGGUUAAACAAAUUCAUCAAACCUCUAUCAUUCUUUUAUUAUAUAAAAUUUAAAUUAUUACCUUAUUUUUAACAUAAUAAAUUAUAUAUACAUAUAUAUAACCAAAUAACUAAAAAUAUUUUUUAUUAAAAAAUCUUAUGAAAAAAAUUAAUUCAAUGAGCUAGUUUACAAGCUAGUUCCAUCAAGCACAUCCAAUUUCUUCCUUUGAAACAUUUUUUGUUUAAAUUAUUUAUAUUAAAAUAUGUUUUUAAUUUUAUGGUAAAUUUUUUAAUUUUAUUUUUCGUCCCAUUUAAAUUCUUGUUAACUUGUUGGUCUCUAAUAAUUUUAUUUUCUCAGACCUCAACAGCAAGCUCAGAAACAUCAAUCUCAUAACUAAUUCAAGUCAAACAUAUUUACUUAAUUAUGAAAUUCUUAAAUAAUAAAAAUACUAAAAAGUAGAUAUAUUUUAUUAGUAGAGAUAAUAUCGAUUAAUUUAUUUAAGUCAGUAUAGUUUCAUACUCUUGUAGUCUUUGGAUUCCUUGUUAGCUCGUUGGCAAGUGUACCAAAUCGUCACAAGUAGUAAAGUACUCGGAAGUCCGAGUGUCGAAUCCACAGGGACUUUGUUUGUACUUAGAUUAAUGCAAACCCAAUUUAAAAGCAAGAGAUAAGAAUUUAAAAUAAAAGAUAAAAAAAGAUAGAAGAUAAGGUAAAGAAAAGAUAAAAGAUUUAAAGAUAAAAUUAGAAGAUGAAAGAAUUAAAGAUAAAAUUAAAAGAUAAAGAAAAAGAUAAAAGAUAAAAAAGAUAAAAGAUUUAGAUAAAAGAUAAAUUCAAGAUAAAAUAAUAUUAGGAACUGACUUGCCUUGUCUGCCUAGAAUGUAUGAGUUUAUGAUUUUUUCUUUACCAAUUCAAGUGAUUCUAUCCUACCCACGUCUAUUCAUUUACGUGCCCCUGAUGCCUCACGAUGACAAACCUAUUUUACCUAUCUAUCUCCCAAAUGCCUUUGCAAAGACUCAAUAGAUAAAAUGCAUGAAGUUCUAAUUCUAGAUGUUUGCUUUGACGCAUGGGCAUAAUGCAAUCGCUCUAUGCCUAGCAACGAUUUUAUUAUGAUGUCUUUUCUUCUCGUUCUAUUAGACGUUAUCCUCUCCCGAGCGUCUAACCCCUAAAACUAAUGCAUGCAUAUCUUCUUUAAAUCUUAUUUAGAAGUUACCCUCUCCCGAGUGGACUAACCCCUAACGGAAUAUAAAGAUGAGUAUGCAAGAUAAAAAUAGAAAAGAAAAUAGGAAAGAAAAACCUGUAUUGCAUUGAUAAAUAAAUAGUGAAGAGUACAUCAUACAUCGCGUUGGCUUUUUAGGCCUGCCAGGUCCUAACUAAGGGAUUAGCCACUCAUGGUCAUUGAGGCUUUACAAUGAGAAGGGGUGAAAGAAAGUAAGGGAGUAAAUGAAACCCCUAGGAGAGGGGUUUUGUCGUGGUGUGUUGUUUCCCUUGGACUGACUCUCUAUUUAUAGCUGCUGAAGUGGGCUUUGGGCCUUCGUAGGCGCGCUCAGCACGACACCCCCUCGCUCAGCGCGUUCUUCUGUUGGAUCGCAAACUUAGCGCGCGUGUUGCAGGCUUAGCGCGCGCUUCUGUUGGAUCACGGGCUUAGCGCGUGACGCGCGCUCAGCGCGCGUAUUGGGCUGGGCCUGCUUCAGAUUUUAUUCUUUUCUGCAAUUUUUCUAGCCUUUUUGCUCGUUACACCUCCAGUUUUUAUAUUUGCAGCCAAAAUUCAACAAAACAUCAAUUCUUUAAUAUUUAAGCGUAAAUAACUGCUAAAUAAUUAUUUUUAAAGACAAUUUUGCCUUAUUUUCUAUCAUCAAAAUACUAUUAUUUAGCAGUUAUCAAAAUCCCCCAAAUUAAAACUUUGCUUGUCCCCAAGCAAAUCAAAUUAAAAGCAGGCUCUGAAUGCUUCAACACUUUCAAUGGCUGCAAUUUCUCAUAUUCCUCCAAUUGGUCCUUUCCGCAUUUGUCAUAAUCUCACAAUGGAAGCAUAAAUUACAUCAAGAUGAAAUUGGUUAGUAUCGGAAAUCAAUCAAGUUGGUUUGCCUCACUUUCCUCACAAGGUUAGUGUUUAUCUCUACGCACAAGUGUCUGAGGUGAGUAUUUAAAAUUUAUACGACCUGCAAUUAAGAUUCCCAAAUUUUGCACUUCAUCUCAAUUAAAGUUAUUCUUACUUACAUUUGGUGGAUCACUAAGGACUUUUAUUGGCUUGUAAUGGGGCCUGGCUAAACAAGAAAUCAUGGUUUUUCUGGGAUUUCAAACUUAAGGUUAUAAGAGAGCAUUCAUCCUAGAAAAACUUAUACUUAGCCUAGGCUUUAUUUGUUUUUCAGCCUUAACACAUAUGCAAUCUAUUUUUCUUAUUUCCAACCUUAGCACUUAUGGCACCUCUUUUUUUUUUUUUUUUUGCCCUUAUUUUCUUUUUCUUUUUUUUUUUUGGAAAGAGACUUUGGGCUUACAAGUUUUUUUUUUUUGGUGCCUUAUUAUGUGCUACUUUUACAUUCCCUAGACCAUCUUCAUUCUACCCAUCCCCCAAAUUAGGGGUUUAUUAUGACUAAAACCUUUAUGCUCUCUUAGAAUCCUAAAAUAAGGUUAGAGAUAUCAUAAUUAGGCUCAGGGGUUUUAUUAAAAAAAAAUAAUUACUAAUUUUGGCUCAACAAGGGUGCAAGGGAUAAAUUUCAUCACAGGUUGGCUUUUUGGCUAUGUGGCUAAAAUAAAGAAACAUGGCCUUGAUCAUAUCCACCUUAUGCAAAUAAUCUAACAGUCUAAGAAUGAUGCAAAAUUAGGAAUUUAAAAACAGACGUUCUCUCAUAAUUAAGUUCACACAGCUCACCGGGACAAGAUAAAGUUAUUGGCUUACCGGACCAUGAUCUCUUUCCAUCAAGCUAACCUUUUCUCUCUUUGUGAUUCAUGUCCCACUGUCUGACUGACUCUUGCUUCCAGGAACCUAGUAUUUUCACAAUUGUCAUGCAGCAUUUCAAGUGUUGAAUCCUUCAGAAAAAGCCUAAAUAAUGACUUCACAAAUAUCAUGUAAUUUUUAUUCAAUAACUGAAUUUAAACUACUAAAAAUUAAAUUGCUGAAAUUAAAAUGUGCAAAAUCAAAACAAAGAAAAGAAAUAACACAACUAUCCUAAAAAAAACAAAUUGCAAUUAACUGAAAGAGAUAAAGUUAGAAAUCCUGAGUUGCCUCCCAGUAAGCGCUUCUUUAACGUCAUUAGCUUGACUGGUCAAAUGCCUUCAAGGUGGCGUGAUGGAUGGGCUGUUGAAGUCUAGAAGCUGUGACCAUAAUCAGAGCUUAAUUUAGCCACAAAACAUUAAUAUCUAAUCUUAUUGGAAAUGAUAUUAAUGGAUUAAAAGAUAAGCAUUUCUUUUUAAACUUUAUACAUCAUUCACAUAAUUAUUUCAUCUAUCAUGUUUACCAUUUUCUAAUUUUAAUUUAUAUUUCCUUCUUCGUAAAUAUAAAGACAUGUACACCAAUUAACAAACUUGAUGUUGUUUACAACUUCUUUUAAAAAAAUGUUGUUUACAACUUAUAUUCCACAUUAAUUAAUUAUUAUCUUAAUCUUUCUUUUUCAAACGUAACUUAUAAUAAAUUUUUCAUAUAAAAAUUAAUUCUAACAUUAAAUUUUAUUCUGAAUGUUAAACAGCCACAUUAAUAACACUUACAAUGUCCAACUCCUAAAUUGUGACAAAUAUAAGUUUUCUGACUUAUAAAUAUUUUAAUUUGUAAAUUAAAUUUUUUACAAAUAUUAAUUUAAAAAUAUUUUGUUUAAAUAAUAUAAUUUUGAAAAGUAUGUUUAUUAUAUAUAUAUAUAUUUUUUUUAACAAAUAUUUUAUAAUUAUGUAUUCUUUUUAAUUUAAUAUAAUAUUUAUUUUUAAAUAUUUCUAACAUCUUGAAAUUAUAUCAUAUACAAUUACUAAUUUACAAAUAAUUCUAUAAAUGAUAUAAUUUUGACAAAUAUAUUUUUUACGUAUAAUUUCAAUAAAUAUUUUAUAAUUAAAAUUUUUAUAGUUUAAAGAAAUAUUUAUAUUUUAAAAGGAUGUCUCCACAUUAUAUGUUUCAUAAAAAUUAUUUCUAGCGUUAUUUCAAAAAAAAAUUUGGGGAGAAAUUGCAUAAAGUAAGGCAAAGGUUUUAGCUUGACAAUUAAAAAAAAAUGCAUAACAAAGGAUAACCAUUUUUGAAAUAAAAUAAAUUUAUUUAAUUAAAUUAAAAUAUAUUUUAUUUUGGAGAGUGAAGGAAACAUGUCAUAAAAAAAAAAACUACAAACCUCCAUUGUUUUUAAAAAUCAUAAAUCCAUAUACCUGAAUAGGGGUAAACAAAUUUUUCAAAAUCUCUAUCAUUCUUUUCCAGUAUCAAAUUUAAAUUAUUUUCCUAUUUUUAAGAUGACAAAUUGUUUCUGUAAAAAAGAUAAUAAAUUAUUAAGAACAAAUUCAAAUAUAUAUAUAUAUAUAUAUAUAUAUAUAUAUAUAUAUAUAUAUAUAUAAAAUUAUAACCAAAACUAAAAAUAUUUUUUAUAAACAAAUAAUAUGAAAAAAAAUUAAAUUCAAUGAGCUAGUUCACAAGCUAGUUCUGUCAAGCACACCAUAUCUCUUCCUUAAAACAUUUUUUUUGUUUAAAUCGUUAAGAUUUAAAUAGGUAAAUUUUUUAAUUUUGGUUUUUUCCCUUUCAAAUAAUUGUUAUAUUUUUGCUACCAAAUAAAUAAUUUUUGUAUUUUAUUUUUUUACUUUGGAUUUAUUUAGAUAGGGCUUUAGAAAAUGGAAUAAAAUUAUUUUGAUAGUUAUUUAGGAAAAAAAAAGAAAAAAUUAUUACAAACCAAAAAGUUAACAAAAAUUUAUUAGGAAUAAAAAAAUUAAUGAUUUAUCAAGAACUAAAAACAUAUUUAAAUCGUUUAUAACAUAAAAGAACAUGAAAAAUCAACCAUUAUGCAAUUCUCUUUGAACAAGACUUAUAAUUUCCGUCUAGUACUUCUUUACUUGUGGAUAUUAAAAUUAUAAGAUGUAACAUUUUUAAAUUAAAUUUCAGAGAGCAACUCAGUCCAUACACUAAGAUAGUGUUUUACCUUGACAGUUGAAAAAAUGCAUUAAAAAGAAGGAUUUGGCGUGAAGGUUUCAAGACAAUACAUGCAUGUCUAAUGUUAUUUCAUUUCUAGUUGGUAUAAGAGCACAAACAAUGCAUACUAAAGGAAAGGCUAUGGGUAUAGCCUAGGUCUCAUGGUCCGUAGGAUAUCACAUUCAUUUUUUAUUAAGUAAUUUUUCCCAAAUUAGAAUAAUUUGAAAUAAAAGUAGCAUUACUAAAAUCAGUUAUAAUUAAAUCUAAACUUUUUUCUUUUUCAAUUACUAUUACGAUAAAUUGGCAGUGGUACGUGCUGUAAAUAUUACAUCUACUUAUAAUGUCAGCACCCAAAAAUUAUUUUUAUAAUGUAAAAUUUACAUUGUCAUUAAUUUGCUUUAUUAAUUUUUAUUAUAACUAUUUAAAAUUUAUAUUAUUAUCAUAAAAUCCGUAUCUAUAAUUUUUAAUUAAGCACAAAUUUUUUUAAUUUUAGUAAAUAUUAAAAAAUAUAUAAUAUAAUGUUAGUAUUUUUCAAAAAAAAAAUCAACAUUAUCAUUAAAUAAAUCAGUGUGCGCGCUGUACAAUAAUUCACUUUUAUCAUUGAAAAUAAAAAUAAAAACUGUUAUUCAAAAUAAAAUUUGCAUUAGUGACUAUUAUAAUAAUUAUCUUAAUGAUUAAAUAUAUUUUUAUCUUUAAUAAAUAUUUUUUUCCCUAAUAAAUAUUUGUUUUUUUAGUAUCUUAUUAAAUAAUAAUUUUGUUUUUUGUCCUAGAUAUUUUGUUGUAAUCCCUAAUGAAUUAACAAUUUUUUUUUACUUCCUUUUAAAUUAACGAAUUUUUCUUUGUCCGACUAAUAAUAAAUAAAAAAUUAUCAAAAAAUAAGCACACAAUUUAUGAAUUUAUCAUGAACUAAAAAAAAGUAUCAAUGACUAAAAUAAAAUAAUUUUUUUAUUUGAAAUUCAACACAGAAUAAAAAUUUAUAAAAAAUUAAAUAUGGGGUACCAAAUUUCAAAUUUGGCAAUAACACAUUAUCUAAUAAUGACCUCCAAAUCAAUUUUGAUGGCAAUGUUGUAACAACCUUAAUAAUUUCUUUGACAUAUCUGCGUUCCUUCUCUUGCAUAAAUUGACUUCCAAGUCAAUGCAAAACAAAAGACACUAUAGCAACGUUUUGCAUGGGGUAGAAAAUUGGAAACCGUGUCAACUUUUUUGCUAAAGAAACCUCUACUCACCCUUAACACACUUUCUAUCCCUCUCAUUCUCUCCAUAAAUUAUAUUUGCUUUGUCUUUUACUAAUAAAUAAGCAAAUUAUAAUCACCCCAUUAACAAACUAAUUUUUUUAGUAAUCCAUUAACAGCCUCAUUUGCAGGAUUUCUUUGGCUAAUUUAUGCGAUGAUUUCUAAACAUUUUGGAAUACAAAUACCAAUUAUAUAUAUAAGUUCUAAAAGAUAGAAACUAUAUAACUCUAUUACUAUAAUAAAGAUGCAUUCUUUUUUAAUUGAUAAAUUGUUUAGUUUAUUAAUUUUAUUUAUUCAAAUUAAUUGUAUCCAGUGCUAUUUAAUUGAAAAAAAAUGUUGUUUACAACUUAUUUAUCACGUUAAUUAUUAUCAUACUCUUUUUUUUCAAACAAAAUUUAUAAUCAUAUUUUCUUAUAAAAUUUAAUUCUAAAACAUUUAAUUUUAUUCUCAUGUUAUGAAACGUGUGUGCAGCAAGUCACUCUUGUUUGCCUAAAAAGAGACUUCCAGGUCAAUUAAUUUCGUUUUGCGUGAUGGAUGGGCUGUUGAAGUCUAGAAGCUGGGACCAUAAUCAGAGCUUAAUUUAGCCUCAAAACAUGAAUAUCUAAUCCUAUUGGAAACGAUAUUAACGGAUGAAAAGAUAAGCAUUUCUUUUUUAAACUUUAUACAUCAUUCACAUAAUUAUUUCAUCUAUCAUGUUUACCAUUUUCUAAUUUUAAUUUAUAUUUCCUUCUUCGUAAAUAUAAAGACAUCUACACCAAUUAACAAACUUCAUGUUGUUUACAACUUCCUUUAAAAAAAUGUUGUUUACAACUUAUAUUCCACAUUAAUUAAUUAUUAUCUUACCCUUUUUUUCCAAACAUAACUUAUAAUCAAUUUUUCAUAUAAAAAUUAAUUCUAACAUUUAAUUUUAUUCUAAAUGUUAAACAGCCACAUUAAUAACACUUACAAUGUCCAACUCCUAAAUUGUGACAAAUAUAAGUUUUCUGACUUAUAAAUAUUUUAAUUUGUAAAUUAAAUUUUUUACAAAUAUUAAUUUAAAAAUAUUUUGUUUAAAUAAUAUAAUUUUGAAAAGUAUGUUAAUUUUAUACAUAUGCUUUCAACAAAUAUUUUAUAAUUAUGUAUUCUUUUUAAUUUAAUAUAAUAUUUAUUUUUAAAUAUUUCUAACACCUUGAAAUUAUAUCAUAUACAAUUACUAAUUUACAAAUAAUUCUAUAAAUGAUACAAUUUUGACAAAUAUAUUUCUUAUGUAUAAUUUCAAUAAAUAUUUUAUAAUUUAAAUUUUUAUAGUUUAAGGUAAUAUUUAUAUUUUAAAUAUUUUUCUCCAAAUUAUAUAUUUCAUAAAAAUUAUUUCUAGCGUUAUUUCAAAAUAAAUUUUGGGGAGAAAUUGCAUAAAGUAAGGCAAAGGUUUUAGCUUGACAAUUAAAAAAAAUGCAUAACAAAGGAUAACCAUUUUUGAAAUAAAAUAAAUUUAUUUAAUUAAAUUAAAAUAUAUUUUAUUUUGGAGAGUGAAGGAAACAAGUCAUAAAAAACUAAACAAAAUAAAAAUAAAACUACAAACCUCCAUUGUUUUGAAAAAUCAUAAAUCCAUAUACCUGAAUAGGGUUAAACAAAUUUUUCAAAAUCUCUAUCAUUCUUUUAUAGUAUCAAAUUUAAAUUAUUUUCCUAUUUUUAAGAUGACAAAUUGUUUCUGUAAAAAAGAUAAUAAAUUAUUAAGAACAAAUUCAAAUAUAUAUAUAUACAUAUAUAUAUAUAUAUAUAUAUAUAUAUAUAUAUAUAUAUAAUUAUAACCAAAACUAAAAAUAUUUUUUAUAAACAAAUAAUAUGAAAAAAAAUUCAAUUCAAUGAGCUAGUUCUGUCAAGCACACCCUAUUUAUUCCUUAAAACAUUUUUUUUUGUUUAAAUCGUUUAGAUUUAAAUAGGUAAAUUUUUUUAAUUUUGGUUUUUUCCCUUUUAAAUUAUUGUUAAAUUUUUGCUCCCAAAUAAAUAAUUUUUGUAUUUUAUUUUUUGACUUUGGAUUUAUUUAGAUAGGGCUUUAGAAAAUGGAAUAAAAUUAUUUUGAUAGUUAUUUAGGAAAAAAACAAAAGAAAAAAUUAUUACAAACCAAAAAGUUAACAAAAAUUUAUUAGGAAUAAAAAAAAUUAAUGAUUUAUGAUGAACUAAAAACAUAUUUAAAUCGUUUAUAACAUAAAAGAACAUGAAAAAUCAACCAUUAUGCAAUUCUCUUUGAACAAGACUUAUAAUUUCCGUCUAGUACUUCUUGACUUGUGGAUAUUAAAAUUAUAAGAUGUAACAUUUUUAAAUUAAAUUUCAGAGAGCAACUCAGUCCAUACACUAAGAUAGUGUUUUACCUUGACAGUUGAAAAAAUGCAUUAAAAAGAAGGAUUUGCCGUGAAGGUUUCAAGACAAUACAUGCAUGUGUAAUGUUAUUUCAUUUCUAUGUGUAAUUUAAACAAAGAUAUGAAGUAGAAAAAUAAAAUAAAUCAUGUUUGCAGAAAAAAUGAGUUCCAAGUCAAGUCAAUUUAAAUUGCAAUUGCUGGGACAACUUUGAUAGCGUGUAAAAGGAUCAUAAGAUUUAUGGUCAAUUUGCGUGAGGUUUGGGCUGUUGAAGUCUUGAAGCUUAAUUUAGCCACAAAUUUUGCAUAUCAUCUUUUUAAUUUGACUAUAAAUAUUAAUGUUUGGUUGCUCAGUAUUAAUUUCAUGUAUAUUUUCCAUCCCUUAUAGUAAAGAGUAUUUGAGUAGAAAAUGGAAUCAUGGAUGUGGUGUUUCCUUCUCUGUUCCCAUUUGCUCAUCCUUUAUUUUUCACCCUCUCAUUCCUUAUGCCACCCCCAUGACACCUCUGCCUUGCUCCACUUCAAAAACUCCUUCAUUAUUUAUGAAGAUCCUUAUUAUGAUGCAUGUGAUACUGCUGGUUAUUUUUCAAAGACGAGAACAUGGGAAAAUGGGACAGAUUGUUGCUCUUGGGCUGGAGUCACCUGCCACCCCAUCUCUGGUCACGUCACUGACCUCGACCUCAGCUGCAGUGGUCUUGUCGGCAAUAUCCAUCCGAACAGUACGCUUUUCCAUCUUUCUCAUCUUCACUCACUCAACCUUGCUUUAAAUGAUUUUGAUGAAUCUCAUUUGUCAUCUCUCUUUGGUGGGUUUGUGAGCCUCACUCAUCUCAACUUGUCUGGUACGUACUCUGAAGGGGAUAUUCCUUCCCAAAUUUCUCACCUUUCCAAAUUAGUCUCACUUGAUCUCUCAUAUAAUGGGUUAAAGUGGAAGGAACACACUUGGAAGAGAUUGCUCCAAAAUGCAACAGUUUUAAGGGUGCUUCUUUUGGAUGAAAAUGAUAUGUCUUCCAUUUCAAUCAGGACACUCAAUAUGUCUUCCUCUUUGGUUACUCUUAGUCUUCGAGAGAAUGGGCUAAGAGGAAACUUGACAGAUGGCAGUCUCUGUUUACCAAAUCUUCAGCACUUGGAUCUUUCAUAUAAUCGGGCCCUUAAAGGUCAGCUUCCAGAAGUGAGUUGCAGAACAACUUCUCUUGAUUUCUUAGAUAUUUCAAAUUGUGGUUUCCAAGGGUCAAUCCCUCCCUCUUUCUCCAACCUCAUACAUCUCACUUCCCUGGACCUUUCAGAUAACAACCUCAACGGUUCAAUCCCUCCCUCUUUCUUUAACCUCACACAUCUUACUUCCUUGGAUCUCUCAGAUAACAACCUCAACCUCAACGGUUCAAUCCCUCCCUCUUUCUCCAACCUCAUACAUCUCACUUCCCUGGACCUUUCAGGUAACAAUCUCGGUUCAAUCCCUCCCUCUUUCUUUAACCUCACACAUCUCACUUCCCUGGAUCUCUCAUUUAACAACCUCAACGGUUCAAUCCCUCCCUCUUUCUCCAACCUCAUACAUCUCACUUCCCUGGACCUCUCAGGUAACCACCUCAACGGUUCAAUCCCUCCCUCUUUCUCCAACCUCAUACAUCUUACUUCCUUGGAUCUCUCAUAUAACAACCUCAACGGUUCAAUCCCAUCCUCACUCUUGACCCUUCCACGGCUAAACUUUCUGUAUCUAUACGAUAAUCAACUCAGUGGUCAAAUCCCAGAUGCGUUUCCUCAGUCAAACAGCUUUCACGAAUUGCAUUUGAGUGAUAACAAAAUAGAGGGUGAGCUGCCUUCAACACUUUCAAAUCUUCAACAUCUCAUUCACUUGGAUCUUUCAUAUAAUAAAUUGGAGGGCCCUCUGCCUAACAAUAUAACAGGGUUUUCAAACCUAACAUCGUUAUGGUUAAAUGGAAACUUACUGAAUGGGACAAUUCCUUCUUGGUGUUUAUCUUUGCCAUCUUUGAAGCAGUUAGAUCUAUCAGGAAACCAACUCUCUGGGCAUAUUAGUGCAAUCUCAUCAUAUUCCUUGGAGACAUUGUUUUUAUCCCACAACAAGUUACAAGGCAAUAUUCCAGAAUCAAUUUUUAGCCUUGUAAACCUUAUUUUCUUAGGUCUAUCAUCAAACAAUUUAAGUGGAUCUGUCAAAUUUCAUCGUUUCUCCAAGCUUCAAUAUUUGGAAGAACUUCACCUUUCAUGGAAUGAUCAGUUAUCACUAAAUUUCGAAUCCAAUGUCAAUUAUAAUUUCUCUAAUUUAAUGUUGUUGAACUUAUCUUCUAUGGUUUUAACUGAAUUUCCAAAAUUAUCGGGAAAAGUCCCAAUUUUAGAAUCACUCUAUUUGUCCAAUAACAAACUUAAAGGUAGAGUGCCACAUUGGUUGCAUGAAAUAUCGUUAUCUGAAUUGGACCUCUCUCAUAACCUAUUGACACAAUCAUUGCACCAAUUCUCGUGGAACCAACAACUCGGUUACCUUGAUCUUAGUUUUAACUCAAUCACUGGUGACUUCUCUUCCUCAAUUUGCAAUGCAAGUGCAAUUCAAAUUCUCAACUUGUCUCACAACAAGUUGACAGGAACCAUUCCACAAUGCCUUGCAAACUCAUUAUCCCUUCAAGUUUUGGAUCUACAACUGAACAAGCUUCAUGGCACUUUGCCAAGUAUCUUUUCAAAGGACUGUCGGCUCAGAACUCUGGAUCUCAAUGGCAACCAACUAUUAGAAGGUCUUUUGCCAGAAUCUUUGUCCAAUUGCAUUCAUCUGGAGGUUUUAGAUCUUGGAAACAAUCAAAUAAAGGAUGUGUUUCCCCAUUGGCUUCAAACUCUACCAGAAUUGAAAGUAUUGGUUUUGCGAGCCAACAAGUUGUACGGUCCCAUUGUCGGUUUAAAGAUCAAGCAUGGAUUCCCCCGUUUAGUCAUCUUUGAUGUCUCUUUCAACAACUUCAGCGGCCCAAUACCAAAAGCCUACAUACAAAAAUUUGAAGCGAUGAAGAACGUUGUUAUAGAUACCGAUCUGCAGUACAUGGAAAUUUCUAUUGGAGCUAAGAUGUACAGUGAUUCUGUGACUAUAACAACAAAAGCAAUUACUAUGACAAUGGACAAAAUUCCAAAAGGCUUUGUCAGCAUUGAUUUAUCAAAAAACGGAUUUGAAGGAGAGAUUCCAAAUGCCAUUGGAGAGCUUCAUGCCCUCAGAGGGCUCAACCUUUCCCAUAACAGAAUUAUUGGUCCUAUUCCCCAAUCCAUGGGAAAUUUGACAAACUUAGAAUCAUUGGAUCUCUCCUCAAAUAUGCUCACUGGUGGGAUACCUACGGAAUUAAGCAACUUGAACUUCCUUGAAGUCCUAAAUCUUUCCAAUAACCAUCUUGCUGGAGAAAUACCUCGAGGACAACAGUUCAGUACUUUUACCAAUGAUUCCUAUGAGGGAAACUCUGGGUUAUGUGGACUCCCACUGACAAUCAAAUGCAGCAAGGACCCUGAACAACAUUCUCCACCUUCAACUACCUUGAGGAGAGAAGGAGGAUUUGGAUUUGGUUGGAAACCAGUGGCUAUAGGAUAUGGAUGUGGAAUGGUCUUUGGAGUGGGAAUGGGAUGUUGUGUAUUGUUAAUAGGAAAGCCUCAAUGGCUUGUGAGAAUGGUCGGAGGUAAACCCAAUAAAAAGGUGAAAAGGAAGACAAGGAUGAGAUCUAAUGAAAAUGGUAGCAGAAUGAAUUAGUUGAUAUAUGGCAUGACUGGAGAAUGUCUUGUUACAUACCUGCCAUCUUUGAAAACAAAACUUAAGGGCAAGAACUUUAUCACACUGCAUUGCAUGGGAGAUCUGGUUCAAAGUUUUGCUGUAAUAUGAAUGUGUUAUACUCUUGCUUUUGUCGUAUAACUGUGGCAUUAAUUGGUUGUAUAAUAAUAGAUGUUGUAUAUUUUUAAAAAUGGUAUGUAUUGGCCAAUGCUAAAAUAUUUUGUAUCUUAAUUCAAGGAGCUGAAUUCACGGUUUUAGCUUCCAUUGUAGUCUAUUUAAUUAAUUUUCUAACUAUUUAACCACCGUGACAUGGCUUUAGAAGCUGAGGGGUCCAGGGACUUAACUAUAAGAGCACAAACAAUGCAUACUAAAAAGUUGCAUAUUUAUUUUUAUAGCCUAGGCCUCAUGGUCCGUAGGAUAUCACAUAUUUAUUUUUUAUUAAGUAAUUUUUCCCAAAUUAGAACAAUUGUCUGGUGAAAAUUUUCAAACUUUGAAAUAAAAGUUGCAGUACUAAAAUCAGUUAUAAUUAAACCUAAACUUUUUCUUUUUCAAUUACUAUUACGAUAAAUUGGUAGUGGUACGUGCUGUAAAUAUUACAUCUACUUAUAAUGUCAGCACCCAAAAAUUAUUUUUAUAAUGUAAAAUUUACAUUGUCAUUAAUUUGCUUUAUUAAUUUUUAUUAUAACUAUUUUAAAUUUAUAUUAUUAUCAUAAAAUCUGAAAAAUCGUAUCUAUAAUUUUUAAUUAAGCGUAAAAUUUUGUAACUUUUAUAAAUUUUAGUAAAUAUUAAAAAAAUAUAUAAUAUAAUGCUAGUAUUUUUCAAAAAAAUCAACAUUAUCAUUAAAUAAACCUGUGUGUUGUACAAUAAUUCCCUUUUAUCAUUCAAAAGAAAAAUUGAAACUGUUAUUCAAAAUAAAAUAACCAUUAGUGAAUUUUAUGAUAAUUACCUUAAUGAUUAAAUAUAUUUAGUUAAUUUUUUUUGCUCCCUAAUAAAUUUUUGUUUUGUUUUGAGUACUAUAUAAAACAAUAAUUUUAUUUUUGGUCCUAGAUAUUUUGUUGUAUAUAAUCCCUAAUAAGUUAGCAAAUUUUUGUUUACUUCCUUUUAAAUUAACAAAUUUUGUUUUAGUCCCAACUAAUAACAAAUGAAAAAAAUUAUCAAGAAAUAAACACACAAUUUGUGAAUCUAUCAGGGACUAAGAAAAGUAUCAAGAACCAAAAUAAAAUGAUUUUUUUAUUAGAAACUCAACGAAAAGUAAAAAUUUAUUAAAAAUUAAAUACAAAAAAUAAAUAUUUAUUAGGGAUUAAAAUUAUAAUUAAAACUUGUCUUAAAUAUUAAAUCUAUUAUAAUUAUUAAUUGGUUCACAACAUAUAAAUAUUUACACUUGUUAAAAUAUACUAUAAUUUCUCUUAAAUUAUUAGGUAAAAUUGGUAAGAGUGUGAGAAACUUAAUUAUUUAUCAAUACCAGCUAUGUGAAUGAACUAAUGUGGGUUUUUGAGCUAGAGACUCUUGGGAAAAAAAUAUUGUCUCAUAAUGAGAAGAAUACAUCAUAAAAAAAUAGAAAAUAUAAAAAUUUGUUUAAUAUGUUUCAACCCUCAUCCUUGCAUUGACAAUAUUAUACAUUUUAAGGAUAACAUAGAAAAAUUUACAAACAUUUUCUCCUUACGAUUUCCCCUCUGUUUGUUAGGGUAGUGACAGUUUCUUCGCACUAGAUGUGGUGAUUCUUCUCAUCUCAAAAAAUCUCUAUUUAUAAACCUAACAUUCUAAUAUUAACUGAAUUCAAAUCCUUAAUUUAUAAAUAAUAUAUUUAAUUCUAAAUGAUAUCCUAAAAAUAAGAUAAUAUCUUUUUUAAAAGCUAAACAAUAUCCUAUAGAUUUGUUAUUCAUUGAUUGAACCAUCAUUAAUUCCUACAUCCACAACUUUUAUAUAAGAUUUUAUGACAAGCAAGACAAACUUGCAAACCUUCCCUUGAUAUGACUCAUCUCUCUUAGGGUAUUGACCUAGGUUGAGUGAUUAUUCUUAUCUCAUAAAUCUUAUUUUAUAGACAUAACAUUCUAAUCUUAAAUGAGGAAACAAAUACCUAAUUUAUUAAUAAUAUAUUUAAUUUUAUCAACAUUCUAAAAAUAAGAUAAUAUCUUUUUUUAAGAAAAUAAAUAUCUUAUAGAUUUGAGAAUACAAAUAAGAUAUAUCUAACAAGAAGCAAAGUUGGACUUAUGUAGAUCAACCAACUAAUCCCUAUACCCACUCAUCACCUAAGCUCAGCCAAAACUCGCUUAGGCCUCAACCCUGCAUCGCUUAAGCUCUUAGCCAACACCACUUAAGCUACAUAAAAAAACAUGCUAAUUUUUGUGCCCAUUCUAGCUUAAGCGCUACCCAACACCAUUUAAGCUACUUCAAACUAAUUUACUCAAAUUAAAAAGAAUAAUGAUUCAACUAUUUAAUCACUACACAUUAAAUACCUAAUUUAUUUUCCGCACAUCACGCAACUGGUCCAUUUAUCUUUUUUAUUUAUUUCUUACAUGUAAUUUUCUUUUUAUUUUUUAAAAUCCAAAAUUUUCAUCUCUAUUUUAAAAUAAAGAUAUUUAAUCGAUUGUUUUUUACGAUCUAUAAUUUUAAUUUUCUAUUUUAAAAUAGAAAUAUUAGUCAUUUAUAUUUAUAAAAUAUGGAAUUUUAGUUAUCCCCAACUAAAAGCUUUGAUUGUUAAGAGCUUAAUCUUUAUUAUGAUAUAGAUUAACUAAAUUAUCUUGUGUCACAUUAUUAGAUUUGAAUCACAUCAAGUUAGCUUCUUACUAAUCAACGCUAAAUGAUUAUGUGGAUAUAAUCACAAAUGAUCAAAAUUAUAAAUUUUAUAACCUUAAGUAAUUAAUUGUUUUUAUUUUAAAAUAGAAGUAUUAAAAUUGUAAAAUAUAAAAAUUAAGACGGUCAAAUAUUUUUUAAAAUAUAGAAAUCAAAAUUAGAUAUUUUGAAAAUAGGAAAAAAUUACAUUUAAGUUUUUAUUUUUAUUUUUUACCGGAGGUCCAUAUGUCUAGUACUUAGAAAUCACGUCAUUAUAAAAAUGCGCCACUAGAGCAUAAUAUAAUAGCAUGAAGGACGUCAUUAUAAUUACAUUUAAGCCAUGAAGAACGUUGUUAUAUAUGCCAAUCCGCAAUACAUGGAAACUUCUGUUAUGGUUAGUGACACCAACAACACUGAUCAUGAAACCAACUACGCUGAUUCUGUGACUGUAACAAAAAAAAACAAUUACUAUGAAAAUGGACAAAAUUCGAAAUGACUUUGUAAGCAUUGCACAACAGAUUUGUAGGAGAGAUAUUCCAAAUGCCAUUGGAGAGCUUCACUCACUCAGAGGGCUAAACCUUUCCCAUAACAGAUUUAUUGGUCCUAUUCUACAAUCCAUUGGAAAUUUGACAAAGUUAGAAUCAUUGGAUCUCUCCUCAAAUAUGCUCACUGGCGGGAUACCUAGAGAAUUAAGCAAUUUGAACUUUCUUGAAGUCCAAAAUCUUUCCAAUAACCAUCUUGCAUUUGUGGGAGAAAUACCUCAAGGAAAACAGUUCAGUACUUUUUCCAAUGACUCCUAUGGUAGAAACUUGGGGUUGUGUGGACUCCCAUUGACAGCAGAAUGCAGCAAGGACCUUGAACAACAUUCUCCACCUUCACUAACCGUUGGGGGAGAACAGGGAGUUGGAUUUGGUUGGAAACCAGUGGCUAUGUGAUAUGGAUGCGGAAUGGUCUUUGGAGUGGGAAUGGGAUGUUGUGUAUUGUUAAUAGGAAAGCCUCAAUGGCUAGUGAGAAUGGUUGGAGGUCAACUCAAUAAAAAGGUGAAAUGGAAGACAAGGAUGAGAGCUAAUGAGAAUGGUAGCAGACUGAAUUAGUUGAUAUGUGGCAUGACUGUAGAAUGUCUUCUUGCACACCUUCCUGUUGAAAUUCAAUUCUGCCUUGUUGGAAAACAAAACUUAAGGGCAAGAACCUUAUCACACUGCAUUGCAUAUGCAUGCGAGAUCUGAUUCAAAGUUUAGUUGUAAUUGUAAUAUGGUGUUGUACUUUUUUUUCUUUGUGUUCAAUAAAUGAGUGUGAUAUACUUUUUUUUUUCUUCCAUUGCCCCAGAAACUCGGGUCUGAAUCAUCCAAAAGUUUGAUAAUUUUUCUGUUCAUUAAUACGCUUAGAUUGUUUUAUUUUUUUAAACUUUUUUAUAUUGGUGAAUAGUAUCAAGUUAAGUAGUGAAUAAUGUGUUGACAAUCAACAAUCAUUUCGCUAAUAUGCUGCAUAUUAGAAAAUUGUAGCAGUCAUUAAUACCAAUUUGCAUUAUGCACGCUAUUUUGAUCCCAUUGCUGUUGUGGAAGUAGUUUUGCUCCAGACAAGGAAUGGAAAUUGACCAGGAAUUUUGUUUUUUUGUGCCAUCGAUUGAGUUUGUAUAAGUGAAGAUAUGUUGAUCUUCUGACAACCUUUUUUUUUUCGAAAUUAUAAUAAUUACUAGUUCGCUAUCUAAAUUCAUGGGAAAUUGAAAAUUGAUUCCCACGAAACUGUAUUCUUCUUCUACAUUACACUUCUCAGGUGUUCAUAGAAGUCCUCUUCCUACUGGUAAGCCGUAUCAUAUUCACUCUCCCUUGCAUUCUGAUUUUUACUUAUAAAUAAGUUAAUGUCUAAGAGCAGGGUUGAAUGAGCGUAAAAAAAGAGAUAUUUUCUAUGAAGUUUUAAAACAAAUUUUACCGAAUUACAUUGUAAUUGAUCAAAUUCCAGAACCAGCCAUUUUGUAUUCUGUUCUGUUAGGCUCUAGCGUAGCUAACCCUAUACGAACUGGCUUAGCACACUUUACAUUAGUGGUUGGGUCUUGAACAUAUAUAGUUUCUUAUGCUUUAAAUUAAUAUUAAGCAUUGUGUUACUUCUAUGAUUGAGACAGCUAAUAGAGGAUGGGGUUGGAUUUUGGAAAUAAGGGGCUCAGAUACAAGUCUAGAUCCUCUUUAGUUUGUGAACUAAAAUUUUUGUUUUGGUUUUGCCUAUCUCUUAAUCUCUUAAGCUAUUAAAAUUAUUCUAGAAUCCACCUAAAGUUUUUUAUUCAAAAAUAAGUGUUGGAGUCUUAAGAUAAUGGUAUCAAGUUUAUUUAUGUAAUUUGUUUUUGGUGACCUAUUGCGGAAAAUCUUUUUAGUAUUUACUUUCUUGGAUUUUUCAAAAAAUUGAUAUUAGAGUCAAUCUUCGAUUUAGUGACCGGUUUAGACGAGGAAGAUGACGUUGAUGAAUUUAUGGAUAUAGAAUUUAUUGUAUCAAAAGUCUUUCUAUCAGCUGAAUUCAUGCAUAAAUGUCACGUAGCAAAGUUGUAGGUGUUACAAUAGUGCAAGCUACUAGAACAUGUUAUGACAAUGGCUAGACAAGCUAGAGACAAUAAAAAUUAAGUUUUAUGGGUCACCAUUAAAUAUUCUUAGAUUGAAAAUGACUUUCGGUCUUGACUUGAGAGCCUUUUUCUUAGUUUACACCUCGGCUGUGCCAUUAACAAUUGAUAAUGCUGUCUAGCAAGCUAUAUUGUGAAGAUAAAUACUUCUCUCCAUAUUUGUCCAUUUUACAUAUUUCCUGGUGUCAAAAUAUUAUUUUUAUUGUAUUUUUAUAUUUCCUGGUGUCAAGUAUCAAUGAUAAGUUUUACCAAAAAAUAAUAAUCAAUAACUAUAGUUAUGUAUAUAAGGAUAAUAAUUAUUUGACCUCUACAACAGGAUCCUAGUAUGAAGUAGUUCUGUAUGUAAAUCUUGCACAGACAAGCCAAAAUAAUAUAGCAUUGAUCAACCUGUUAAUUAGAAGAAUCAAGUUAAAAGCAGCUUGAAAAAGAGCAGGUAUAUGUAAAUAAUAGAAUACGGGGCCAUCUUGCAGUUGAGAGCGUCAUCUUUCUCCUCAUUUUGGAAUCACUCAAAUCCAAAUUUUGUAGAUUGAGAUAAUAUCAAAAUUUAAAACUUGUUCUAGGUCGUGUUUGGUGUGCAAAUUCUAUCUUAGAAGAUCCAAUUUGAACCAAGCACGUGGUUUCCCAUCACUUCUAUACUUGAAAAUAUAAAUAUGCUACAUUAAAGAGUUUUAUUCCAUUGAAUAUUCUUUCAGAAAAUGAUUUCGCAUUGGAUGUUCCUUCUUUCUAAAUGUGAUCUUUAAAACAAUGUAGAAUUUAUAAAAAAAAAUUGCGUGUAAUGUUCCUUCUUUAACAAAGGGGUCUUUGAACAAUUUUAAAUUUUAUAAACAUUUACUAAUUCUUUUUCUGUCGAUCACCAGAGGCUUAGUAUUAGAAUUUCAAAAUUUAGAUGUGAAAGGACGAAAACUGCAAUGUGAAAAGUGAAAGUUGUUACGUGGAAGUAUAUAUGGCAAAACGAAAAGAAAAAUUGGAAAGAACAAACUCCGUGUGAGCAUCACUAAUUAAAGUUAAAGUUGGACUAAAUUAAAAGAACCAAUAAAAACAAAAGUAAGAUCACUAAUUAAAGUUAAAGUUAGACUAAAAAAAAGAACCAAUACAAACAAAAGUAAGAGAAAUAAAAGGCAACAACUUACAGGUACCUCUCCAAAUACUUGCAAGCUUAAUAAAAUAAUUAAUGAAAAUCUAAUAAUAAAAAAUGGAGGAAAUAGCCAACAUACCUGCAAUAUAUUACCAUGCAUUGUUACAUCUCUACCACAAAACAUGAAUAUCUAAUCUUAUUGGAAACGAUAUUAAUGGAUGAAAUGAUAAACAUCUCUUUUUAAACCUUAUACAUCAUUCACAUAAUUAUUUCAUGUAUCUUGUUUAACAUUUUCUAAUUUUAAUUUAUAUUUUCUUCUUCGUAAAUAUAAAGAUAUGUACACCAAUUAACAAAGUUCAUGUUGUUUACAACUUCCUUUAAAAACAAUGUUGUUUACAACUUAUUUUCUACAUUAAUUAUUAUCUUAAUCUUUUUUUUUCAAACAAAACUCAUACUCAAUUUUUCAUAUAAAAAUUAGUUCUAACAUUUAAUUUUAUUCUCAAUGUUAAGCAACCACAUUAAUAACACUUUCAAAUCAUCCACCGUAUUCUAACAAUGUCCAACUCCUAAAUUGUGACAGAUAUAAGUUUUCUAACUUAUAAAUAUUUUAAUUACUAAAUUAAAUUUUUGACAAAUAUUAAUUUUAAAAAUAUGUUAAUUUUAUACAUAUGCUUUCAACGAAUAUUUUAGAAUUAUGUAUUUUUUAAUUUAAUAUAAUAUUUUUUUAAAUAUUUCUAACAUCUUGAAAUUAUAUCAUAUACAAUUAUUAAUUUACAAAUAACUUUAUAAAUGAUAUAAUUUUGACAAAUAAAUUUUUUAUGUAUAAUUUCAAAAAAUAUUUUAUAAUUUAAUUUUUUUAUAGUUUAAGGUAAUAUUUAUAUUUUAAAUAUUUUUUCUCCGAAUUAUAGUUUAAGGUAAUUUAUUUUUCAAGGGUUAAUAUUAUUGUUAGAGUCUGUUUAGCAAGCACUAUGAGUCUGUUUCACAAGUCACUCCAGUAGCUUAUAAUUUUGUUUGACUAGCAUAUAAGUUGAUUUUAUCAAAAUAAGUUUGGGUAUCAAAACAAACUUAAUUUAAUAACUUUUAGCUUAUUUUCAGACGCUAUUUCAACUAGUAUUUUAGCUUAUAAGUUAUUAAUUUAUUUUUAUAUUUAUAUUUUAUUAUUUUACUUUGAAUUAUUUUUUAUCCUUUUUUAAAUAAAACAAAUUUAUUUAAUUAAAAUAUAAUUUUUUAGAAAAAGAAGGACACAAGUCAUAAAAAAUAAAAAAAACUACAACACUCCAUUGUUUUCAAAAGUCAUAAAUCCAUAUACAUGAAGAGGGUUAAACAAAUUCAUCAAGUCUCUAUCAUUCUUUUAUAGUAUCAAACUAAAAUUAUUUUCCUAUUUUUAUAGGAUAAUAAAUUAUUACUAUAAAAAAGAUUAUAAAUUAUUAAAAAUAAAUUCAUAUAUAUAUAAUUAUAACCAAAUAACUAAAAUAGUUUUCUUAUUAACAAAUCUUAUGGGAAAAAAAUUAAUUCAAUGAGCUACCUCACAAGCUAGUUCUGUCUGGCACACCCUAGCUAUUUCUUCCUUUGAAAUAUUUUUUGUUUGAAUUGUUUAGAUUUAAAUAUAUUUUUAAUUCUUACUAAAAAAAUUUAAUUUUGUCUUUUGUCCCUGUUAAAUUAUUGUUAACUUUUUGGUCCUUAAUAAAAAAAUUUAUUUUAUUUUUUGACUUUGGAUUUAUUUAGAUAGGGCUUUAAAAAUGAAAUAAAAUUAUUUUCAAAGUUAUUUAAGAAAAAACAAAACAAAAAUAUUAUUACAAACCAAAAAGUUAAUGGAAAUUUAUCAGGAAUUAAAGAACAAAAUUUUAAGAUUUAUGAACAACCAAAAAUAUAUUUAAACAGUUUAUAAAACAAAGAGAACAUGAAAAAUCAAUCAUUAUGCUAUUCUCCUUGAACAAGAGUUAUAAUUUCCAUCUAGUACUUCUUUAUUUGUGGAUAUUGAAAUUAUUCGAUGUAACGCCUUUAAAAUAAAUUUCAGAGAGCAACUCAGCCCAUACACUAGAUUGUGUUCUACCUUGACAGUUGAAAAAAAUGCAUUAAAAAGAAGGAUUUGCCGUGAAGGUUCAAGACAAUACAUGCAUGUUUAAUUUUAAAUGAUGAUGAUAUAAACACUAUAAGGUUAUUUGUUAUUUAUUUGAUAAGUUAACUGACUGAAUAUUUAAUUCCACUCCACUACUUGCUAAAACUGACCACCCUCAUCCGAUUCACCGAAGGUUUACAAAAUUCGCUCCGUCAUGUUAUUCCAUUUCUAGUUGGUAUUUUAAAGGGAAAAAAAUGGUUAAAUAAAGAUAUGAAGCAGAAAAAUCAAAUAAAUCAUGUUUGCAGAAAAAUGAGUUCCAAGUCAUGCGUGAGGGAUGGGCUGUUGAAGUCUUGAAGCUUAAUUUAGCCACAAACUUUGCAUAGUGUUUUUAAUUUGGGUAUAAAUAUUAGUGUUUGGUUCCUCAGUAUUUCAUGUAUAUUUUCCCUUAUAGUAAACAGUUUUGAGUAGAAUAUGGAAUCAUGGAUGUGGUGUUUCCUUCUCUGUUCCCAUUUGCUCAUCCUUUAUUUUUCACCCUCUCAUUCCUUAUGCCACCCCCAUGACAACUCUGCCUUGCUCCACUUCAAAAACUCCUUCACUAUUUAUGAAGAUCCUUAUUAUUCUUAUUAUUGUGAUCAUGGUUAUUCAAAGACGACAACAUGGGAAAAUGGGAGAGAUUGUUGCUCUUGGGCUGGAGUCACCUGCCACCCCAUCUCAGGUCACGUCACUGAGCUCGACCUCAGCUGCAGUGGCCUUCACGGCAAUAUCCAUCCAAACAGUACGCUUUUCCAUCUUUCUCAUCUUCACUCACUCAACCUUGCUUUCAAUCAUUUGUAUACAUCUCAUUUGUCAUCUCUCUUUGGUGGGUUUGUGAGCCUCACACAUCUCAACUUGUCUCAUUCUGAAUUUGAAGGGGAUAUUCCUUCCCAAAUCUCUCACCUUUCCAAAUUAGUCUCACUUGAUCUCUCGUACAAUUUGUUAAAGUGAAAGGAAGACACUUGGAAGAGUUUGCUAAAAAAAUGCAACAGUUUUAAAGGUGCUUCUUUUGGAUUUUACAGAUAUGUCUUCCAUUUCAAUCAGGACACUCAAUAUGUCUUCUUCUUUGGUAACUCUUGGUCUUCUAGCAAAUGGGCUAAGCGGAAAGUUGACAGAUGGCAUUCUUUGUUUACCAAAUCUUCAGUACCUAUAUCUUUCAUUUAAUGAGGACCUUCAUGGUCAGCAGCUUCCAGAAAUGAGUUGCAGCACAACUUCUCUUGGUUUCUUAGAUCUUUCAGGUUGUGGUUUCCAAGGGUCAAUCCCUCCCUCUUUCUCUAACCUCACACAUCUUACUUCCCUGGAUCUCUCAGCUAACAACCUCAAUGGUUCAGUCCCAUCCUCACUCUUAACCCUUCCACGGCUAACCUUUCUGAAUCUAAACAAUAACCAACUCAGUGGUCAAAUCCCAAAUAUUUUUCCUAAGUCAAACAACUUUCACGAAUUGCAUUUGAGUUAUAACAACAUAGAGGGUGAGAUCCCAUCAACACUUUCAAAUCUUCAACAUCUCAUUAUCUUGGAUCUGUCACUUUGUGAUUUCCAAGGUUCAAUCCCUCCCUCUUUCUCUAACCUCAUACUUCUUACUUCCCUGGAUCUCUCAUAUAACCACCUCAACGGUUCAGUCCCAUCCUCGCUCUUAACCCUUCCACGGCUAACUUUUCUAAAUCUCAAUGCUAAUUGUCUCAGUGGUCAAAUCCCAAAUGUCUUUCUUCAGUCAAACAACAUUCACGAAUUGGAUUUGAGUAAUAACAAAAUAGAGGGUGAGCUGCCAUCAACACUUUCAAAUCUUCAACGUCUCAUUCUCUUGGAUCUUUCACAUAAUAAAUUUAUUGGUCAAAUCCCAGAUGUGUUUGUCGGGCUAACCAAAUUGAAUAGUCUCAAUCUUUCGGAUAACAAUUUAGGAGGCCCAAUCCCAUCUUCAUUAUUUGGCUUAACACAAUUUUCUUACUUGGAUUGUUCUAAUAAUAAAUUGGAGGGCCCCCUGCCGAACAAAAUAAGAGGGUUUUCAAAUCUAACAUCGUUAAGGUUAUAUGGCAACUUCCUGAAUGGAACAAUUCCUUCUUGGUGUUUAUCUUUGCCAUCUUUGGUGGAUUUAUAUCUAUCAGAAAACCAAUUCUCAGGGCAUAUUAGUGUAAUCUCAUCAUAUUCAUUGGUGAGAUUAUCUUUAUCCCACAACAAGUUACAAGGCAAUAUUCCAGAUACAAUUUUCAGCCUUGUAAACCUUACUGACUUAGAUCUAUCAUCAAACAAUUUAAGCGGAUCUGUCAACUUUCCACUUUUCUCAAAGCUUCAAAAUUUGGAAAGACUUAAUCUUUCACAUAAUAAUCAGUUAUCACUAAAUUUCAAAUCCAAUGUCAAUUAUAGUUUUUCCAGUUUAUGGAGUUUGGACUUAUCUUCUACGGGUUUAACUGAAUUUCCAAAAUUAUCAGGAAAAGUCCCAAUUUUGAAAUUACUCCAUUUGUCCAAUAAUACACUUAAAGGUAGAGUACCAAAUUGGUUGCACGACACGAACUCAUCGUUAUAUUUAUUGGACCUCUCUCAUAACCUAUUGACGCAAUCAUUGGACCAAUUCUCAUGGAACCAACACCUCGUUUACCUUGAUCUUAGUUUUAACUCAAUCACUGCUGGCUCUUCCUCAAUUUGCAAUGCAACUGCAAUUGAGGUUCUCAACUUAUCUCACAACAAGUUGACAGGAACCAUUCCACAAUGCCUUAUUAACUCAUCAACCCUGGAAGUUUUGGAUCUGCAACUGAACAAGCUUCAUGGCCCUUUGCCAAGUACCUUUGCAAAGAACUGUCAGCUCAGAACUCUAGAUCUCAAUGGCAACCAAUUAUUAGAAGGUUUUCUGCCAGAAUCUUUGUCCAAUUGCAUUAAUCUGGAGGUUUUAAAUCUUGGAAACAAUCAAAUAAAGGAUGUGUUUCCCCAUUGGCUUCAAACUCUACCAGAAUUGAAAGUAUUGGUUUUGAGAGCCAACAAGUUGUACGGUCCCAUUGAGGGUUCAAAGACCAAGCAUGGAUUCCCCAGUUUAGUUAUUUUUGAUGUCUCUUCCAACAACUUCAGCGGCUCAAUACCAAAUGCCUACAUAAAAAAAUUUGAAGCCAUGAAGAACGUUGUUCUAUAUCCCGAUUGGCAAUACAUGGAAAUUUCUAUUUCUUUUGCAGAAACCAACUACCAUGAUUCUGUGACUAUAACAACAAAAGCAAUUACUAUGACAAUGGACAGAAUUCGAAAUGACUUUGUAAGCAUUGAUUUAUCCAAAAACAGAUUUGAAGGAGGGAUUCCAAAUGCCAUUGGAGAGCUUCAUUCACUCAGAGGACUCAACCUUUCCCAUAACAGGCUUAUUGGUCCUAUUCCCCAGUCCAUGGGAAAUUUGAGAUACUUAGAAUCAUUGGAUCUCUCCUCAAAUAUGCUCAUUGGUGGGAUACCUACAGAAUUAAGCAAUUUGAACUUUCUUGAAGUCCUAAAUCUUUCCAAUAACCAUCUUGUGGGAGAAAUACCUCGAGGACAACAGUUCAAUACUUUUCCCAAUGAUUCCUACAAGGGAAACUCUGGGUUAUGUGGACUCCCACUGACAAUCAAAUGCAGCAAGGACCCUGAACAACAUUCUCCACCUUCAACUACCUUCAGGAGAGAACCAGGAUUUGGAUUUGGUUGGAAACCAGUGGCUAUAGGAUAUGGAUGUGGAGUGGUCUUUGGAGUGGGAAUGGGAUGUUGUGUAUUGUUAAUAGGAAAGCCUCAAUGGCUUGUGAGAAUGGUCGGAGGUAAACUCAAUAAAAAGGUGAAAAGGAAGACAAGGAUGAGAUCUAAUGAAAAUGGUAGCAGAAUGAAUUAGUUGAUAUAUGGCAUGACUGGAGAAUGUCUUGUUCCAUACCUGCCAUCUUUGAAAACAAAACUUAAGGGCAAGAACUUUAUCACACUGCAUUGCAUGGGAGAUCUGGUUCAAAGUUUUGCUGUAAUAUGAAUGUGUUAUACUUUUGCUUUUUGUGUUCUUUUUUUGUUUGUUAUGUGUAGAAGAGUGCAUGUACUUCAUUUGCCUUGAGCUUGCAGUUUUGAUUUAUUUAAUACGUAUAACUGUAGCAUUAAUUGGUUGUAUAAUAAUAGAUGUUGUAUAUUUUUAAAAAUGAUAUGUAUUGGCCAAUGCUAAAAUAUUUUGUAUCUUAACAGUAUGCAGUUGUCUCAUUUCAUUGAAGGAGCUCAAUUCACGGUUUUAGCUUGUAUUGUAGUCUAUUUACUUAAUUUGCUAAAUUAUCAAACUGUUAUUCAAAAUAAAAUAAGCAUUAGUGACUUUUAUAAUAAUUACCUUAAUGAUUAAAUAUAUUUUUAUUUUCAAUAAAUAGUUGAUUUUUUUGUUUAUUUCCCAAUAAAAAAAAUUAUUUUGAGUACCUUAUAAAAUAAUAAAUUUUUUUGUUUCCCAGAUAUUUUUUUUGUAAUCCCUAAUAAAUUAGCACAUUUUUGUUUACUCCCUCUUAAAUUAACGAAUUUUGUUUUAAUCCUGAUUAAUAAUAAAUAAAAAAAAUUAUUAAGAAAUAAAUAAAUACACAAUUUGUGAAUUUAUCAUGGACUAAGAAAAGUAUCAAGGAUCAAAAUAAAAUGAUUUUUUUAUUUGAAACUCAACGGAAAGUAAAAUUUUAUUAAAAAUUAAAUAUUUAUUAGUUAUUAAAAUUAUAGUUAAAACUUAUCUUAAAGAUUAAAUAUAUUAUAAUUUUUAUUUGGUUCACAACAUAUAAAUAUUUACCAUUGUUAAAAUAUACUAUAAUUUCUCUUAAAUUAUUUUAAUGAAAAUAAAUAGUAAAAUAGUAGGAACUUAAUCUAAGUUACGUUUAGUAAAUAUUGGGUAAAAUUGGUAAGAGUGUGAGAAACUUAAUUAUUUAUCACUACCAAAUAUGUGGAUCAACUAAUGUGGGUUGUUGAGCCAGAGACUCAUGAGAAAAAAUAUUGUCUCAUAGUGAGAAGAAUAAAUCAUAAAAAAUAGAAAAGAUAAUAAAUUUGUUCAAUAUGAUUUAGACCUUCAUCCUUGUAUUAACAAUCUGAUACAUUUUAAGGACAAUUUAGACAAACUUACAAACAUUCUCUUCUAACGAUUCCCCUAUCUUAGUUAGGGUAGUGAUAUUUUCUUCACACUAGAUGUGGUGAUUCUUUUUAUCUCAAAAAAUUUCUAUUUACAGAUCUAACUAAUCUUAAAUGAAUUCAAAUCCAUAAUUUACAAAUAAUAUAUUUAAUUCUAAAUGGUAUCCUAAAAAUAAGAUAAUAUGUUUUUAAAAAUCUAAACAAUAUCCUAUAAAUUUGAUAUUCAUUGAUUGGACCAUCAUUAAUUCCUACAUACCCAACCUCUAUAUAAGUUUUUAUGACAAGUUAGACAAACUUACAAAUAUUUCCUCUACAUGACUCAAUCUCUCUUAGGGUGUUGACCUAGGCUGAGUGAUUAUUCUCAUCUCAUAAAUCUUAUUUUAUAGACAUAACAUCCUAAUCUUAAAUAAGAAAACAAAUAUCUAAGGGUGUGUUAGGUUUGCAUUUUUAUUUUUUAUUUUCAUUUCCUGUUUUUAUUUUCUGAAAACUGUUUUCAUUUUUCAAAUAUUAGAAUUCUAAAAACAUGUUUGGUUUGAUUUUUUGUUUUAUGUUCUCAGGAAAUAAAAACACUGAAAAUUUAUGAUAUAUUAACUUCUUGUUUUUUUUUGUAUUUUUAGAUUUGCUUAAAAUUACAUUCUUUGCCAUUACGUUUUUAUUUUAUCCAAAAUAAGGGUCCUGUUUUAACUGAAAACGAGAUGUUAUUGUUUUCAUUUUCUGGUUGUUUCCUAUUUUCAUUUUCACUCAAAAUGUUUUUAAAAAUCGAAUCAAACACAUCUUCAUCAUUAUUUUCUGUUUUCAGUGAAAAUGAAAACAAAAAACAACCAAAUCAAACACCUCCUAAUUUAUUAAUAAUAUAUUUAAUUUUAACAACAUUCUAAAAAUAAGAUAAUAUUUUGGUUAAGAAAACAAUAUCUGACAAAUUUGAGAAUACAAAUUUAAAUUAUUUCCUAAUAAAGUCAUCGAUAUGUAGUUAAAUACUUAGAAAAAGAGUUUCAUCAUCCAUAAUAAUCAUAUUGACUCAAACAAGAUUAUCUUCAAUCAAAUAUACCUAUCUACGGAAGAAAGACCUAUGUAAGAUAAAUCUAACAUGAAGCCAAGUUGGACUUAUGUAGAUCAAUUAACCAACUAAUCCCUAUGCCCACUCAUCACCUAAGCUCAACCAAACUCGCUUAAGCCCCAACCCUGCAUCGCUUAAGCUCUUAGCCAACACCACUUAAGCUACAUCAAAAAACAUGUUAGUUUUUGUGCCCAUUCUAGCUUAAGCGCUACCCAACACCACUUAAGCUACUUCAAACUAAUUUACUCAAAUUAAAAAAAUAAUAAUGAUUCUACUAUUUAAUCACUACACAUUAAAUACCUAAUUUAUUAUCCGCUUAUCAAGCAACUGGUCCAUUUAUCUUUUUUAUUUGUUUAUUACAUGUAAUUUUUAUUUCUUUUAUUUUUUAAAAUCUAAAAUUUUGAUCUCUAUUUUAAAAUAAAGAUAUUUAGUCUAUUAUUUUUUACAAUCUAAAAUUUUAGUUUUCUAAUUUAAAAUAGAAAUAUUAGUCUUUUAUAUUUAUAAAAUAUGUAAUUUUAGUUAUCCCAACUAAAAGCAUUGUCUGCUAAGAGCUUAAUUUUAAUUAUGAUACAGAUUAAAUAAAUUAUCUUGUAUCACAUUAUUAAAUUUGAAUCACAUUAAGUUAGCUUCUUAUUAAUUAACGCUAAAUGAUUAUGUGGAUAUAGGCAUACGGAUGAUUAAAAUGAUGAAUUUUAUAAAAUUAAGUAAUUAUAUGUUUUUAUUUUAAAAUAGAAGUAUUACAAUUGUAAAAUAUAAAAAUUAAGAAGAUUAAAUAUUUUUUAAAAUAUAGAUAUUAAAAUUAAAUAUUUUGAAAAUAGGAAAAAAAAUAUAUUUAAGUUUUCUUUUACCGGAGGUCCAUAUGUCCAGUACUUAGAAAUCUCGUCAUGAUAAAAAUGCGUCACUAGAGCAUAAUAUAAUAGCAUGAAGAACGUCAUUAUAAUUACAUUUAAGCCAUGAAGAACGUUGUUAUAUAUGCCAAUCCGCAAUACAUGGAAACUUCUGUUAUUGUUAGUGACACCAACAACAUUGAUCAUGAAACCAACUACGCUGAUUCUGUGACUGUAACAACAAAAGCAAUUACUAUAUGAAAAUGGAUAAAAUUUGAGAUGACUUUGUAAGCAUUGAUUUAUCGCACAACAAAUUUGAAGGAGAGAUUCCAAAUGCCAUUGGAGAGCUUCAUUCACUCAGAGGGCUAAACCUUUCCCAUAGCAGGCUUAUUGGUCCUAUUCCCCCAUCCAUGUGAAAUUUGACAAAUUUAGAAUCAUUGGAUCUCUCCUCAAGUAUGCUCACUGGCGGGAUACCUAGAGAAUUAAGCAAUUUGGACUUUCUUGAAGUCCUAAAUCUUUCCAAUAACCAUCAUGUGGGAGAAAUACCUCAAGGAAAACAGUUCAGCAGUACUUUUUCCAAUGACUCCUAUGAUAGAAACUUGGGGUUAUGUGGACUCCCAUUGACAGCAGAAUGAAGCAAGGACCUUGAACAACAUUCUCCACCUUCACUAACCUUUGGGGGAGAACAGGGAUUUGGAUUUGGUAGAAAGCAGUGGCUAUAAUGCGGAAUGGUCUUUGGAAGGGGAAUGGGAUGUUGUGUAUUGUUAAUGGGAAAGCCUCAAUGGCUUGUGAGAAUGGUUGGAGGUCAACUCAAUAAAAAGGUGAAAUGGAAGACAAGGAUGAGAUCUAAUGAAAAUGGUAGCAGAACGAAUUAGUUGACAUGUGGCAUGACUGUAGAAUGUCUUCUUGCUCACCUUCCCGUUGAAAUUCAAUUCUGUCUUGUUGGAAAACAAAACUUAAGGGCAAGAACCUUAUCACACUGCAUUGCAUAUGCAUGGGACAUCUGAUUCAAAGUUUAGUUGUAAUUGUAAUAUGGUGUUGUACUUUUUUUUCUUUGUGUUCGAUAGAUGAGUGUGAUAUACUUUUUUUUUUACUUCCAUUGCCCCAGAAACUCGGGUCUGAAUCAUCCAUAAGUUUGAUAAUUUUUCUGUUCAUUAAUACGCUUAGAUUGUUUUAUUUUUUUUAACUUUUUUAUAUUGGUGAAUAGUAUCAAGUUAAGUAGUGAAUAAUGUGUUGACAAUCAACAAUCAUUUCACUAAUAUGCUGCAUAUUACAAAAUUGUAGCAGUCAUUAAUACCAAUUUGCAUUAUCGACGCUAUUUUGUUCCCAUUGCUGUUGUGGAAGUACUUUUGCUCCAGACAAGGAAUGGAAAUUGACCAGGAAUUUUGUUUUUUUGUGCCAUCGAUUGAGUUUGUAUAAGUGAAGAUAUGUUGAUCUUCUGACCACCUUUUUUUUCGAAAUUAUAAUAAUUACUAGUUCGCUAUCUAAAUUCAUGGGAAAUUGAAAAUUGAUUCCCACGAAACUGUAUUCUUGUUCUACAUUACACUUCUCAGGUGUUCUUAGAAGUCCUCUUCCUACUGGUAAGCCAUAUCAUAUUCACUCUCCCUUGAAUUCUGAUUUUUACUUAUAAAUAAGUUAAUGUCUAAGAGCAGGGUUGAAUGAGCGUAAAAAUUAGUUUGUAUGCUUUAAAUUAAUAUUAAGCAUUGUGUUACUUCUAUGAUUGAGACAGCUAAUAGAGGAUGGGGUUGGAUUUUUGAAAUAAGGGGCGCAGAUACAAGUCUAGAUCCUCUUUAGUUUGUGAACUAAAAUUUUUGUUUUGGUUUUGCCUAUCUCUUAAGCUAUUAAAAUUAUUCUAGAAUCCACCUAAAGUUUUUUAUUCAAAAAUAAGUGUUGGAGUCUUAAGAUAAUGAUAUCAUUAAGAUAAUGAUAUCAAGUUUAUUUAUGUAAUUUGUUUUUGGUGACUUAUUGCAGAAAAUCUUCUUGAUAUUUACUUUCUUGGAUUUUUCAAAAAAUUGAUAUUAGAGUCAAUCUUCGACAUAGUGACCGGUUUAGACAAGGAAGAUGACGUCGAUGAAUUUAUGGAUAUAAAGUUUAUUGUAUCAAAAGUCUUUCUGUCACCUGAAUUCAUGCAUAAAUGUCACGUAACAGAGUUGUAGGUGUUAUGUACAAUAAUGCAAGAUACUAAAACAUGUUAUGACAAUGGCUAGAAGAGCUAGAGACACUAAAAAUUAAGUUUCAUGAGUCACUAUUAAAUAUUCUUAGAUUGAAAAUGACUUUCGGUCUUGACUUGAGAGCCUUUUUCUUAGUUUACACCUGGCUGUGCCAUUAACAAUUGAUAAUGCUGUCUAGCAAGCUAUAUUGUGAAGAUAAAUACUUCUCUUCAUAUUUGUCCAUUUUACAUAUUUCCUGGUGUCAAAAUAUUAUUUUUAUUGUAUUUUUAUAUCCUUUAAAAUAAAUUUGCUUUUGGAGUUUUCUCUUGGACGAGAUACCAUUCAAAGAAUUUCACAUAAUGUAAAUGCACGGGGUUCUUUUUUAAUUUUGAUUUUGUGGCAUUUAUCUCUAUAUUUGGUUGAUAUAUUUGAAACUUGAUAGCGCGAUUAGCUGAUGUAUCAGUCAACGGACCCUAGUAUGGAAAAAGAAUACGGUGAAGACAGAAUUUUUCCACAAACUAAUGUAUCAGCGUGAGUUUCCUUUAAUUUUCUUUUGAUUUAAAUAUUUUUGUGGACGUGUUUUAAUUUUCAUUUUUUGAUGUGAUUGGCGAGCUUAAUUUUCUAACCCAUAUUUUAAGGGUUGGCAGACUUGGAAAUCAACGCUUGGAUUUAAUUGAACUGGCUGUUUAUACAUGUUUUGUUUUUAGAAUCAUAUCACAUAUAUGUAGUCUGUUGGUGAAAGUAUAUAGUGGCAGCUUAUGUUUUGGGCAGAAAUUGUUUCCUCAAACUUUCAUGUGAUAAGACAAAUUAACUUCUGAAUUUUCACAAUAAUAUUCUUCUAUGCUAUCAUAAGAAGAAGAAAAAACCACCAAUAACUUGUAGAUGCAUGUUCUCUUAAACAGGUGGUAUUCUUCUAGACCCAAAAAAAAAGGUGGUAUUCUCUGUGUUCAAUUAUAUCUUUUGGCUGGGAUCUUCCUUUUUCAUAUGUUGGGGUUUAAAAUAUUUAAUAGGGAUUAAUUAACAGGAACAUAUCCAGAAAAUAAUAACAAGCUUAAACAUACAAAAUUAUGUUAAUUAAUAAAUUUCAUCACUAUAUAUUUUAUAUAAAAAAAUUAAUUAACCUGUAUAUAUAAUUUUUUAAAGAAAAAUAUGAGAGGGAAACCAUUCUUGUUUCAUUUGAUACUGCCAUGUUAAUCAAUCAUGUCUAAUAAAUAUUUUCUCCGAUUUCUAUUAUAAAAAAAUUAUUUCAUAUUUAUUAAAAAAUUAAUUACUUUUAUUAAAUUGUAUUAAUAUUAAAAUAUUUUUUUUCUAAAUUAUUCUUCACUAAAAGUUGAUAUGAAGCAUAAAAAUAUCCAGCCUUAUAUAUAUUGUAGGCCAACACACAUUUCAUUUGCUUUUCUUUAUGAAAAAAGUUAAAUUAAUAGAGGAUGGGAUUGCAUUUUGGAAAUAAAGGGCUCACAUACAAGUACCUAGGUACAGUUUAGUUUGUGGCCUUAAACUCUGUUUUGGUUUUACCUUUCCUCUUGUGCUAUUAAAAUUCUUCUAGCAUCCGUUCACAAGUUUUUUAUUCAAAAGUAUUUGACGUACUGUUAGUUUAGUUGUUGAGAGUCUUUUUGUACUCCAGAAUUAACUAUGCCAUUGACAAUGGAUAAUUCUGUCAAGCAUGCUAUAUUGUUAAGAAAAAUACUUCUCUCCUAGUUUGUUCAAUUUUACAAAUAUACGUAUAUCAAAUUUUGAUGGUGGUCUCAUUUUUUUGCCUCUAUUCCUUAUCUGCUUCCCUCACUUGGAAAAGUAAAAUGGUAUCAACAUAUUUUUUUUAUUGUAUUUUUAUAUUCUUUUGAAAUAAAUUUACUUUAGAGGAGUGUUUGGACCAGAUACCAUACAAACCAAUUAAAAAAUUUAAAUGCACGGUGUCUUUUUUAAUUUUUAUUUUGUGGCAUUUUUCCUCUAUAUUUGAUUGGUAUUUUUGAAACAUGAUUGCGAUUAGCUGAUGUAUAAAGUCAACGAACCCUAGUGUGGAAAAAUAAUACGGUGAAGACAGUUUUUCAACAACUAAUUUUAUCAGCCAGAGUUUCCUUUAAUCUUCUUUUGAUGUGAUUAGAGUGUCUAAUUUUCUAACCCAUAUUUUAAAGGUUGGAAGACUCGGAAAACAACUGUUUGGUUCAACUAGGAUUGAUUAUAUAUAUAAAACUCUGUGAAUUGAAUAAUAGUUGGGGGCGGGACCUAGGAUUUAUCUAGACAUAGCUUUCCAACUCUUAACAGCUAAAACUUCUAGACACAACCCCAAUUAGAAGAUCAACAGUACAUACACCUCAACUCAUGAAAAAAACCUCUAUAUUCCAUAGAUAAACUUAAAUUUCUCAAUUUAGGAUAUCUACAGUCCUAUACAACUGAUCAAGCGUACUCUCUAUCAAUUAAUGGAAUGUUGAGUAAUUUGAUCAAAUGAAGUUUCCAAUACAGGGUACCUCUUGCCCUUCAGUUUAGAGGUCUAAGCCAAUCACUUUAGGUAGGAUUUAAUCAAACCAUGACUUAAUUCAAUUAUAUUUUAAUGGAUUAAUUUGGGUCAACGGACGUAAUAAUUUAAUUUUUUUUUCUUUUUUAAAACCUAAUAUUUUGUAGAAAUUAAAUUUUUUAUUAAAUAAAUUAAAUAUAAUUAUUUCUUAUUAUAUUUUAUUAAAAAGAAAUUUUUGUGAUGUGACCGCAUCUUACUCCGCUAACUCCUAUUUAUCCAAAGGAAUUGGGAAAUUAAGUGUAUCAUAUCACAAGCUCUUUUUAAGGUUUAGCUUUAUUGGAAGAUCUUAUAAAUAGGAGAAAAAGUAAACUAUGCUGGAAAAAAAUGUUAAGCAAUGAAGUAGACAUUAAAGAAAAACAAAAAGAAAUAUUGAAUAGAAUUGUAUUGUUUAUAAUUUUUUACGUUAUCUUACUGUUUCUACUUUCUGCAAUACUUUUAUUUUAAUUUUUUAUUUAAUGUCUAAGAGUACCCGUAGUUGACAAGACACUUCUUGUAAACAAGAAGUCAUAUAAUAGAUAACUAGAAUAAGUUGAAUUUGGAUAAUAAUUUGAGUAUUCUCUGUCAUUGUGAGAGUUGUUCUUCUUUAAUAACUUUGAUUUUAUUAACAUAUUGCGAUUAUGAUCAAAUUCUACUUGUUCACUUUGCAUGAAUUUAACAUGAUCCUAUAAAUCGAUUCGUAUUAUUGUUUAUCAGACAAUAUAAUUAAUUGUUAGUACAGUGACCUGUGAGCACAUCUAUUUGUAUACAUAUGGUAUAGAUAAACUAUUGGUUUUUUCAAUUUGAGAACAAAUCUCCUAAUAUAAUUUUUGUUCAUUUCUAAUAUUUUACAAAAAUAUUGAUGUAACCGUAUUGUCAUCUCUAUUUUAAAUUUGGCAAUAACACAUCAAACUAAAUUAAAUAAAAUCGAAUUUCAAAUUUGGGAAUAACACAUUAUCUAAUAAUGACCUCCAAAUCAAUUUCGAUGACAAUGGUGUAACAACCUUAAUUAAUAACUUCUUUGACAUAUCUGCGUUCCUUCUUUGCAUAAAUUAACUUCCAAGUCAAUGCAAAACGUUUUGCAUGGGGUAGAAAAUGGGAAACUUUUUGGGAUACAAAUACCAAUUAUAUAUGUAAGUUCUAAAAGAUAGAAACUAUAUAACUCUAUUACUAUAAUAAAGAUCCAUUCUUUUUUAAUUGACAAAUUAUUUAGUUUAUUAAUUUUAUUUAUUCAAAUUAAUUUAUUCAAUGCUAUUUAAUUUCAGUCAACAAAUUGCUAUUUAAUUUAUUCAUCAAUACUCACUCACUUGCUAAAACUUAUUAUCCGUCUUCACUGAAGUCUAAAGGUUUACAAAUUAGAAAAUGCAUUUUAAAGAGAAAAAUUAAAACGAUAAAAUAGAUAUAUGAAGUAGAAAAAUCAAAUAAAUCAUGUUUGCAAAGAGUUCCUAGAGAUAAUAUAAUGAAAGGGUUGAGAAAUGAAUGUUGAUUUGCAUGAGGGAUGGGUUGUUGUAGUGUAUACUCCUUGCGUGUUAACAAAAUUAAUUUUAAAUGUAAUUGAUUUUGUAAAAUUGAUUUUGAAGUAAUUAAUGUUUGUAUGUUUUAUUAUAAAAUUAAAUUAACAAUAAAAUUUGUUAUAAAAUUUUAGAUUCAAUACAGAAAUUGUUUAAAACAUAUAAAAAUAUAUUUAAAAUUAAUUAUAGAUUCAAAAUCAAUUUUUCAUCGUGAAUCAAACAAUAAAAAGUCUCAAAAUGGUUGAUGAAGGAUAAUUUUUUUAAAAAAUUUAUCAUUUGGAGAUAAAAUUUAAGUUGAUAUUCCAAAAGGAAUAAGUCUUAAUAAAUAAUGCAACUUCUAAAUUAAAAAUAGUGAAAUUUGUUAUAACUUUUUUUUAUUUUUUACAUUAAAGUCAUAAGAAAUUUUAUGGACUUCAUUUUUAUUUUUUAAAUACGUCUAAAAUUUAAUUCUCAUAGACAUUAAAGUCAUAAUUUUUUUUAUUGAAUUCGUAAAUUAUUUUAUGACUUUAAUUUAUUUUGCAUCUGAUAUAUUUUUUAAAAUUAUAAAUAAUUUUUAUUUUGGUUAUUUAAUAAAUUAAUGAUUUUAGUUUUAUUUAAUAUUUUGGUUAUUUUGCUAAAACCACCCUCAUCCGAUUCACCAAAGGUUUACAAAAUUCGCUCCGUCAUGUUGUUUCAUUGCUAGUUGGUAUUUUAAAGGGAAAACAUGGUUAAACAAAGAUAUGAAGUAGAAAAAUAAAAUAAAUCAUGUUUGCAGAAAAAAUGAGUUCCAAGUCAAGUCAAUUUAAAUAGCAAUUGCUGGGACAACUUUGAUAGCGUGUAAAAGGAUCAUAAGAUUUAUGGUCAAUUUGCGUGAGGUUUGGGCUGUUGAAGACUUGAAGCUUAAUUUAGCCACAAAUUUUGCAUAUCAUCUUUUAAAUUUGGCUAUAAAUAUUAAUGUUUGGUUGCUCAGUAUUAAUUUCAUGUAUAUUUGAGUAGAAAAUGGAAUCAUGGAUGUGGUGUUUCCUUCUCUGUUCCCAUUUGCUCAUCCUUUAUUUUUCACCCUCUCAUUCCUUAUGCCACCCCCAUGACACCUCUGCCUUGCUCCACUUCAAAAACUCCUUCACUAUUUAUGAAGAUCCUUAUUAUUCUUAUUAUUGUGAUCAUGGUUAUUCAAAGACGACAACAUGGGAAAAUGGGACAGAUUGUUGCUCUUGGGCUGGAGUCAGCUGCAACCCCAUCUCAGGUCACGUCACUGAGCUCGACCUCAGCUGCAGUCGCCUUUACGGCAAUAUCCAUCCAAACAGUACGCUUUUCCAUCUUUCUCAUCUUCACUCACUCAACCUUGCUUUCAAUGAUUUUAAUUAUUCUCAUUUGUCAUCUCUCUUUGGUGGGUUUGUGAGCCUCACUCAUCUCAACUUGUCUAAUUCUCACUUUGAAGGGGAUAUUCCUUCCCAAAUCUCUCACCUUUCCAAAUUAGUCUCACUUGAUCUCUCUGGUAAUAAUUUGUUAAAGUGGAAGGAAGACACUUGGAAGAGAUUGCUCCAAAAUGCAACAGUUUUAAGGGUGCUUGUUUUGGAUCAAACAGAUAUGUCUUCCAUUUCAAUCAGGACACUCAAUAUGUCUUCCUCUUUGGUUACUCUUAGUCUAGGACUGACUUGGCUAAGAGGAAACUUGACAGAUGGCAUUCUCUGUUUACCAAAUCUUCAGCACUUGGAUCUUUCACUUAAUCGGGCCCUUGAAGGUAAGCUUCCAGAAGUGAGUUGCAGAACAACUUCUCUUGAUUUCUUAGAUCUUUCACUUUGUGGUUUCCAAGGGUCAAUCCCUCCCUCUUUCUCCAACCUCAUACAUCUCACUUCCCUGGACCUCUCAGGUAACAACCUCAACGGUUCAAUCCCUCCCUCUUUCUCCAACCUCAUACAUCUUACUUCCUUGGAUCUCUCAUAUAACAACCUCAACGGUUCAAUCCCAUCCUCACUCUUAACCCUUCCAUGGCUAAACUUUCUGUAUCUAAACUAUAACCAACUCAGUGGUCAAAUCCCAGAUGCCUUUCCUCAGUCAAACAGCUUUCACGAAUUGCAUUUGAGUGAUAACAAAAUAGAGGGUGAGCUGCCUUCAACACUUUCAAAUCUUCAACAUCUCAUUCACUUGGAUCUUUCACAUAAUAAAUUGGAGGGCCCUCUGCCUAACAAUAUAACAGGGUUUUCAAACCUAACAUCGUUAUGGUUAUCUGGAAACUUACUGAAUGGGACAAUUCCUUCUUGGUGUUUAUCUUUGCCAUCUUUGGUGGAUUUAGAUCUAUCAGGCAACCAACUCUCUGGGCAUAUUAGUGCAAUCUCAUCAUAUUCCUUGGAGACAUUGUUUUUAUCCCACAACAAGUUACAAGGCAAUAUUCCAGAAUCAAUUUUUAGCCUUCUAAACCUUACUCACUUAGAUCUAUCAUCAAACAAUUUAAGUGGAUCUGUCAAAUUUCAUCGUUUCUCCAAGCUUCAAAAUUUGGAAAAACUUCACCUUUCAUGGAAUGAUCAGUUAUCACUAAAUUUCGAAUCCAAUGUCAAUUAUAGUUUCUCUAAUUUAAAGUUGUUGAACUUAUCUUCUAUGGUUUUAACUGAAUUUCCAAAAUUAUCGGGAAAAGUCCCAAUUUUAGAAUCACUCUAUUUGUCCAAUAACAAACUUAAAGGUAGAGUGCCACAUUGGUUGCAUGAAGUAUCGUUAUCUGAAUUGAACCUUUCUCAUAACCUAUUGACGCAAUCAUUGGACCAAUUCUCAUGGAACCAACAACUCGGUUACCUUGAUCUUAGUUUUAACUCAAUCACUGGUGACUUCUCUUCCUCAAUUUGCAAUGCAAGUGCAAUUGAGAUUCUCAACUUGUCUCACAACAAGUUGACAGGAACCAUUCCACAAUGCCUUGCAAACUCAUCAUCCCUUCUAGUUUUGGAUCUACAACUGAACAAGCUUCAUGGCACUUUGCCAAGUAUCUUUUCAAAGGACUGUCGGCUCAGAACUCUGGAUCUCAAUGGCAACCAACUAUUAGAAGGUCUUUUGCCAGAAUCUUUGUCCAAUUGCAUUGAUCUGGAGGUUUUAGAUCUUGGAAACAAUCAAAUAAAGGAUGUGUUUCCCCAUUGGCUUCAAACUCUACCAGAAUUGAAAGUAUUGGUUUUGCGAGCCAACAAGUUGUACGGUCCCAUUGUCGGUUUAAAGAUCAAGCAUGGAUUCCCCCGUUUAGUCAUCUUUGAUGUCUCUUUCAACAACUUCAGCGGCCCAAUACCAAAAGCCUACAUACAAAAAUUUGAAGCGAUGAAGAACGUUGUUAUAGAUACCGAUCUGCAGUACAUGGAAAUUUCUAUUGGAGCUAAAAAGAUGUACAGUGAUUCUGUGACUAUAACAACAAAAGCAAUUACUAUGACAAUGGACAAAAUUCCAAAAGGCUUUGUCAGCAUUGAUUUAUCAAAAAACGGAUUUGAAGGAGAGAUUCCAAAUGCCAUUGGAGAGCUUCAUGCCCUCAGAGGGCUCAACCUUUCCCAUAACAGAAUUAUUGGUCCUAUUCCCCAAUCCAUGGGAAAUUUGACAAACUUAGAAUCAUUGGAUCUCUCCUCAAAUAUGCUCACUGGUGGGAUACCUACGGAAUUAAGCAAUUUGAACUUCCUUGAAGUCCUAAAUCUUUCCAAUAACCAUCUUGCGGGAGAAAUACCUCGAGGACAACAGUUCAGUACUUUUACCAAUGAUUCCUAUGAGGGAAACUCAGGGUUAUGUGGACUCCCACUGACAAUCAAAUGCAGCAAGGACCCUGAACAACAUUCUCCAACUUCAACUAC